rnacentral:lncRNA from 1 species
GAGAGAUCAAGUGAAACCAAUUUUGACAGGUGGGAGACUUGGGAUGGGACUUCUCCUGCAAACCCUGUAUAAGAAAGGUUGAGGUAGAAUAGGCUAGUAAACCGACCGAACUCGGAUGGAAUUUUGGAAAGAUUAAAAUCAUUGUAGGCAAGGUUGAGUUUUUGAAGGUGAGGAAGAAGGAAGAGAGUGGUAUUGGAAGGGAAGUUGCCAUAUAGCCAACUGCAGCUCAAGUCAAGGGCAAUAACAUGAGCAUUUAGGUGGUCACAAGUGACCCCAUCCCAUGAGCAGCAAUCUGUACCCUCCUUCCAUGAAUUUGUCUUGGGAUAAGAUUUAAGGCCAGCAUAAUCAUUGCAAUAAGAAGAAACAUCCUCUGUUACGGAAAAAGAGUCCUUAAACUGGAUUAGGGAAGAGCAGGAGUGAGAUCCUGAAGAAGAAAAAGAAGCAUAAAGAUGGGGAAAGAAGAGGAAUAGGCAGAGAAAGAGAUAGGGGGCCAUGUUAUGUUUGUAGAGAAAGAAGAAGGAUAGGAAUGGUAUUUGUAGGCAACAAAUAGUACCACAACAUUGGUGUUACAGUAUUUUUUUUUUCUUUUACAUUGAAAAGCUAUGGAUAUUAGAUUUUCAAAAAUUUUGUAUUUUUCACCAUCAUCAACAACCACUUAGUCUUCUUUUUACCAUAUAUUUUUCAUUCUAUUUUUUUAACAAAAUCUUGUAUUUCAUUUCAGCUUUCAAAACAACUAAAAAAUUUAAAAUUGAUGAAAUUACAAAGUAGAUUGACUUAGUCUUCUUUCCUAUAACAUUUAAAAGAAUAUCUUGUCAACCAAAGUUAAUUAAUGUGAAAAUUCUUUUUCACACAAAAGAACAAAAUUGUGCUCUAUUCACUAAGUUAGAGGAAAAAGACUGCUAGAUUUUUUAAUUAUUUUUUCUUUGAAAAAUUUGAAAGUUUUUUACUGCCUUUAAGCCAAUAAAAAAAACAUGUAUUAAUUUUGUUUUUAAAAAUAGUGUGUUUGAUUGUGAAAUGAUUCAUCAUCCUCCACCACAAACUAUCCAUAUUUGCAGUGUGAAAGCAGCUACUUUCAUAAAGAAAUUACUUAGGAGAUGGGAUCCACCAAUUUUACCUAAACUCGCAUCAACAUUGUUUAGCAAUUUCAAAAUAGACUAAUUAGUCUGGUUCAAAUACCAAGACUACAAUAUCUAUUCACUUCACUUGGUCUUGCUUCCUAUCGCUGUCAGCCAAACUUGAUCGACUAGCAGUAAGGAAAUUUCAGUCAUUUGCAGCAUAAUGUACAAGAAUUCCACUCCCGCAAAAUAAUUUACAAUAUGGACUAACACACUAAAAAUGAUUUUUAAAAAAUGAUUUUUAGAAAGUAAUUUUUGAAAAAUGGUUAGAAGAUAAUUUUUGUUUCUGAAAUAGUUAAUUUUUUUUGGUGUUUAGAUAAAUUUUGUUAUGUUUUCAUUGUUUACUUGAGUUUAUUUCAUAAAGCUUAUGUAUAUAUUUUAAUUAAUCAUGUUUUAGUUUUAAUUAAUCUUAAUUUACUUAAUUAAGCUUAAUUGUUAACUUCGUACAUUAGAAUAUAAAUUUAUGUUUAAUUAAGUUGAAAGUGAUAAAUAUUUAUUUUGAAUAUUAUUUGGAUAAGUUGAAAAAUGAUUUAAUUUGAUAAAAUUGAAGUCAGGGUCAUAGAACUAUGCUUUUUACUGACAAAAUCUUAGAUGCAGUGAUUAUUGAGACUAAAAAAUGAAAGUCAUGAAAGAAGACAUAAAUAGUUGAACCAUACAAAAUGUUACAUUUUGUAAUGCAAUGAAAUAUAGAUGAAUUGUUACAAAUAUAAAGACAGAUGCAUUGCAAUGCAACCUUUCUCCAUAGGAAAAAAAAUUUGACAGACUUCAAAACAAGAAAUUAUGAAGAUACAACAUACACACUUGAACAUCAUUUCCACUAACUAGAUCCUUCUUCGUCCAUUGCUGCGACUGCCAUCCUUUGACUUUCUUCUUCGCUACUUCUCAUGUUGGAUUCAACCAAAUUCACCAACCAUUUUGGCUUACUAAUUUGGAAAACAACAUAUCCCACGACCAUUCCAAACACUACUCCGCAUCCAUAACCUAUCAACACCAAUUUCCAACCAAAAGAGAUGUUUGAUUUUGAACCAUCUUUUCCAAGCACAUUUGGAGGUGGUGGCUCAAUGAUGUUGCAACCUUUUGAGACCGGAAAUCCACAUAAUCCCUUGUUUCCUUCAUAUGAAUCAUUUCCAUAUGUGUUGAACUGUUUGCCUUGAGGAAUCUGACCAUGGAGUUGAUUUUCAGAAACAUUGAAGGACGAAAGAAAUGCCAGAUCUGCAAAUCUAUUUCGAAUUGUCCCUGACAACCUGUUUGAAUAUAGGUCCAACCAUUCAAGACUCGUCAAAUUCCCUAUUGAAGUGGGGAUACCACCGUUAUAAACACUGUCAUAUGGCAUGAAUAACAUACUCAUAUAUUUACUGUCACAUGGCAUGAAAAACACACCCUCAUAUUCACUUUCACAUUAGUCAUCAUAAGCUUAUAACAUAUGUCAUAGCAAUCUCAUAUAUAUUCAUAAUUUCACAAUUUCACAAGCGUACAUAUAUCACAUUUAAUCAUAUGCGCGAGAAAACUUACUCUCACUUACUCUUGGAAUUUAGAGUAGGAAUUUAGGCUACCACUAAAUUCUCAUCAAUUAAACAAUGAAUCAUCUACGAGCAACAAUUUCAAACCACAAUGAAUCGAGAGCUCAAACUAGCUCUUCCUCUAACUCGUAGAAGGCUUUAAUGAAUCCGAGGCUUCACACAUGACAAUCACACAAUACUCACAGUCAAAUGACAGCCAAGGACCCACUUAAACUAACCAAAAUAAAAGCCUAAGCUACCUUCUAAUGUAACCAAACCCUUUAGCAUGACGAACUUAAAAUGCAAAUAUAUCAAUCUACACUUAAACAUUUUCACAUGAAACAAGUUUCAGUCAUCCCCCAUAUUCAUUUAUAGCUAAACUCCAAUCUUUAAACCACACAAAACUACAAGUUUCAAGGUAUAACAUUUUUCCACAAAUUUUGACCAUAAUAAUGAAAAUUCAUUAAAACACGGGAAAUCUAUAAUGAAACUUAGAAGUAAUUUUAAAAAACUUCUAAUUAAGUUAAAACAAGUUGAAAAACACUUUUAAAUCACUUUUUCAUCCACAAUCUCGAAUUCCACCAUUAAUGACCCAAUUUUUAGGUUUAAAUUAAAACAUGCAAUUUCAUAACUAAAAUCUCAAUUUUAAAGUCUAGAUAACAUUAAAAACUAAUGAGAAAGUAAAUGGUUACCUUUGAUGAAAGAUUAAACGAGUUUUGAAGUAAAUUUGAAAAACCCACAAUUGAAGAAGAAGAUGAAAUCUAUGGCGUUUUUGAGUGUUUUUCUUGGAAUUAUAAGAAAUCAAAGUACUAUUGUUUGGGAAUAAAAAUUAAUUGAAAGAUCAAGGGAAUAGCAAAGGACGGCAAUAGCAAACUUUGGAGAGUAACUAUUGUGAAAUAGAACAGGGAAUGGGGUUUAUUAGGUUCAAUUUAAAACAUUGGUAAAACUUCAAUCUAAGUGCUCACUAUUUUAACUUUGUUACAAAUUAGUUCUUUUUCUAAAUUUUAGGUAUUUAAAACUCAUUUUCAGAAAUCGGCUCAAUUCCCUAAUAGCCAUUGUCGAAAACAUUAUUGAAUACUAACCUUACGAAAUUUUGAUUACAUAUAGGCUAAAAUUCCUAAAAAAAAAUUGAAACUCUUAGAUCCUAUUUUGGGGUGUUCACGUAUGGUCAUGAUUCAUGUUGAAUUAAUACAUCAUUCACCGUAAUAAGGCUUAUCGUUGUAAUAAUUAGUUAAAUCACCUAAUAUCUAAAAAAUUAUUAUUAUUUUCAUAAAAUCAUUGAUCAAAUUAUUGUUUUCAAAUUUCAUACAUAAAAUUAACAAAUAAAGAUAGCUCUAAAUAGCAAAACCCAAUAUGUGUAACAAGUAUUUUUAUUAAUCCAUUUGGAAUGUUAAGGUUUGCUGGAGCAAAUAAAUUGAUUAAUGCUUUGAACUUUCCAAACACUUUUUAUAGUUUUGUUAUAUGCAUUUUGUAUAAUUAGUAUAUUUGAAUAUAUUAGAUACAUCGUCUAAAACAAUGCCAAUUGUAAUUUUUUUAUAUUUUGUUGAUCAUAAGCGUAUUAUAUAAAUAAUUUAAAAAAAAAAAGAUGGAGUGAUACAUUUAUGUAGUGCUUAUGAAUAUAAUGUUGGAUUAAAAUCCUUAAUUAUGAGUACAUAUGUAUAUGCUUGAUAUUACAAUUAUCUUAAUAAUUUUGUUUCUGUUCUUGUUGAUUGAUGAUUAUAGAAAUCAUUAUUCUUCUGAAGGCAUACUUUGUUGUCAAUGACAGUACCUGCACCCUAAAAAAGUCACCAGCUUUAACGACUACAAAAGUUGUCCUGCCUGAUAUUUAUUAAAAAAUCACCAGGAAGCACAUUGUCAGGACAUCCUUGCUGGAAAAAAACUUGGUAGGAUGGUUUUUCUGUGCAAACUUAGUAAUUAAUUUAUGUUGUUUUUACCAAACUUUGUAGCGUUUCACUUUUGGUAAAAUUUCAUCCUUGGUCCCUUUAAACUCCUUUUUGCUUUAAUUUGAUUGCUUUCUAGCGUUGCAAAUUACAUAACACUCUUCAAAUGUCUUAUUAAAUUCUCACUUUUACGAGUGCUAUGUUAAUCAAUUUUAAGUUCCAUAUAACACUUACAUGGCUACAAAAUGUGUGUGUGUGUAAGUGUCCUCAACCACAAACAAUCCAAAUUUGCUGAGAAACCACCCAUUAUAUAUAGGUUUGCCAAUGAGAUGGCAAGCAGACUGCUAGCUAGAAAUUCAUGCAUCUUUGAAUCACCAAUUCAAUUAAUAAGCUUAACUAGAGGAAAUAAGGACUUUACACCACCAAUUAAAGCAACCUAUAUGUACCCUUUUACAGUCUGCAUUGUUCCAUGUUUCCAUUCAUUACAUCAUUCCUUCAACUCUGCUAUAUAUUAUUACCGUCUCCAGAAAACCAAACCUUUUACUGCUAACUUGUAAAAAAAUUAUGAAAAUACAACAGAGAUCAUUGAGACAUUGUUGAAGUUGGCUUGCAUGCAGACCAAGAAGCACACCAAGCUGUCCGAGAUAUGCAAGUUGCAGCUGAAGCUUAUGCUGCUGUUUUGUUACUUUCAAAUAGAUAUUUUAUUAUUUACUUAGAUAUGAACUAAGUUGCUGAUAUGCUUGAUGUAAUUAGGAGCUGAUAGAUUGAUAAAUCAGCUUUACCAAGUGUACAAGCAAUGUUUAUCAAGUUACUAAGCCACUUAGUGGAGUUAGGUAUGUGUUUAGGUAACAUUUUCUUAUUUUUGACCAGCUGAUUGCUUGCUAUAUGUAAUGGCAUUGUGCCUUCAUUCAAAUGUAAAGAAAUCUUUCAGAAAAUUCUUCUUCAUUUGGUCUUUACCUAAGCAUUUUUUUUCACGAAGCUCUUGCUGUUUUUGUUUUGUUUGUUGAGCAAGAUAACAAUGCUUUAUGCUUAAGUUUCUGUCAAAAUUUCUCAUUCUGUUUUCUUAGUUCCUACAGACAUUUUGUUCUCCUUUCUCCUUUACUGAGCAGUAGCAAAGAUUAUCGAGACUAAAUUGAAAUCCAUGAAAGAAGACAUAAACAACACCACCAUACAAAAUGUCACACUCAAACAAACCAUUACAGAUACGAAAUGCAAUGAAAGACAGAGGAAUUGGUACAAUAAUAAAGACAGCCAGAUACCAAUGCAACCCUUCACCAUAGGCAAAACGGUCUACAAACAAGAAAUUAUGAAAAAUACAACACUAAUUCUUGAACAUCAUUUGCAGUAAUUAAAUCCUUCUUCGUCUACUGCUGUGAUUGCCUUUCUUUGACUUUCUUCUUCGCCUCUUCUCAUGUUGGUUUUCAACCAAAUUCACCAACCAUUUUGGCUUACCAGUUUGGAAAACAACAUAUCCCACGGACAUUCCGAACACUACUCCGCAUCCAUAACCUAUCAACACCACUUUCCAACCAAAAGCAAUGUUUGAUUUUGAGCCAUCUUUUUCAAGCACAUUUGGAGGUGCUGGAUCAAUGAUGUUGCAACCUUUCGAGACCGGAAACCCACACAGUCCCUUAUUUCCUUCAUAUGAAUCAUUUCCAAAUGUGUUGAAUUGUUUGCCUUGAGGAAUCUGACCAUGGAGUUGAUUUUCAGAAACAUUGAAGGACGAAAGAAAUGGCAGAUCUGCCAAUCUAUUUGGAAUCGUCCCAGACAACCUGUUUGAAGAUAGGUCCAACCAUUCAAGACUUGUCAAAUUCCCUAUUGAGGUGGGGAUAUCACCAAUAAGGUUAUUAUGAGAAAGGUUGAGCCCUUUCAGUAAGUUAAGCUUCCCAAUAACCUUUGGAAUACCCCUUUCAAACUGAUUGUUUGAUAGAUCAAUGAUCAUCCACAUGGUGAAAAUUUUCACCAAUUCCCUAUCUUGUCCUUUCAUAACAAUUCCAAUGGAAUAGGUAUAGAAGCCAACUCCAUAAUCAUGCACCCCCAUGUAUGACACUGUACUACCAAUCUUCUCUAGAUUUAUGAUAGCCUUGAAGCUGUUGAUGUAUCUCACUGGUAGGGGUCCAGAAAAAUAAUUACUUGAGAGAUCAAAAAUUUGGAUUUUAGAGAAAAAAGGGAUAGACUUGGAGCUAUUGACACAUAAGGAACCAUGCAGUUGAUUUGACUUCAAUACAAGAACUUGUAGCUGUGGAAGACUUCCCAACCAGUGAGGAAAUGUAUCAUUGAUCUUGUUGUUACCAAGAUCUAGCACUUCCAGACCUCUACAAUUAAGGAUGGAUGGUGUCAAAGGCCCUUCUAACAGAUUUCCAUUUAAGUUGAAAUUACUCAAUCGGCAUCCCUUUGCAAAUGCUGGAGGAAUCGUCCCAUAAUACUUGUUCUUCUUCAGAUUCAAGAAUAGAAGGCUGUUGCUCAAAUUUCCAAAACAUUGUGGAAUUGUUCCACUCAAGUUAUUGUGGGACAAAUCAAGAAUUUCAAGAAAAGCGGCAUUGCAUAUUAAAGAAGAGACCUCUCCAUUGAAACUAUUAUUUGAGAUCAAAAAGACUCUUAUGGUCGAAGCUGGAAUCGGAAGAUUUCCACUGAUCAAAUUGGAGCUUAAGUCAAGAACAUCAAUAUUCUUCCAUGGAAAGUGCUCAACUUCUGUCAAAGUGUUGUGAGAUACAUUUAAGUGAGUCAAAGAGCCAUUCCCCACCUCUCGCAUCCACUGUGGAAUCUUGCCUUCAAUUUUGUUGCAAGAGAGGUGUUGAAGUAAUGGUCAGCAUGCAGCAACCAAGACUGUCAAAGGCACUACAUGCAGAAGCUGCUGGUUCACCUAGUCAGCAAGCUGUUUAUGUUUCAUUUUGUAAUUUUAAGUUAGAGUAAUGUAACUUAGUUGCUUUAUAACUAUGUUAGGUUUAUGUUUGAUGUAAUUUUGAUGUUGACUGAGCUGAUAAAUCAGCUUUGUUUGUUUAUUCAAGCUAAUUAGCACAAGUUACUAUGUGUAUUAGUGGUAGUAGGUGAAGUUUAGGUCAACCUACUGUUUUGUCAAGAUUGUAAACUUGUUUUAUGUAUUGGCUUUGUGCCAUAUUUAGUUUGAUGAAUGAAUUCAAGAAGUUAUCAUCCAUAUGCUCUCCAUUUUUAGUUUUGCUUAAAAAUCCAUUUGAGUUUUCUGCUUUGUUUCUCCUACAAGUCACGAGACUUGCCAUACAAGCAUUCUGCUGAAGCUUGCUGCUGCUGCCUCUUGCACCAACAAUUGGUAUCUAGAGCCACAUUCUUAGAGGACCUGUUGUAGUUCAGUAUCAAAACGAUGGCAUCAUCAGGUUUUUCACCAGCUUCACCACCUGUCUUCAAUGGAGAGGGCUUCAACAUUUGGGCAGUUAAGAUGAGGACUUACCUGCAGGCAUUCGACCUAUGGGAAGUUGUUAACUCAGAUGCUGAGCCAGCACCUCUUCGAGCUAAUCCAACAGUUGCUCAAAUAAGGCAACACACUGAUGAAAGGACAAAAAGGCACAAGGCCAUGUCAUGCAUACAGAAUUGUGUGACAGAUGUGAUCUUUAUGAGGAUCAUGGCCUGUGAGACACCAAAGGAGGCUUGGGACAAGCUGAAAGAAGAAUUUCAGGGGACUGAGAAAACAAGGCAACAACAGCUGCUCAAUUUGAGAAGAGAUUUCGAAAAUCUCAAAAUGAAAGAGGAAGAAACAGUUAAGCAGUACUCAGACCGGAUUAUGGCUGUUGUAAACAGCAUAAGGCUCCUAGGAGAGCAAUUCAGUGAAGCUAGAAUGGUUGAGAAAGUCAUGUCCACUCUACCAGAGAGGUAUGAAGCUAAAAUUUCAUCCCUCGAAGACUCAAGGGACUUGACAACUAUCUCCUUAACUGAGCUAAUCAAUGCCUUGUAUGCAUAAGAGCAAAGAAGAGCUAGCAGACAAGAGGAGCACCAGGAAGGGGCUUUUCAAGCCAAAGAAGCCUCGAGCAUCAAAACUCAUAAAGGCAAAAAGUUCUGGAAAAACAAGCCUAAGCCUGAUGCUGCUAGGAGCAGUGACCAACUCUGCAGACAUUGUAAAAGAGCUGGUCAUCCAGAAGAUAGAUGCUGGUUUAGACCAGAUGCAGUAUGCCAAAACUGCAAGAAAAAAGGCCAUGUUGAAAAAGUUUGCAAGAAUAGAAGCAAACCAAGACAGAAUCAAUUUCAGCAACAAAAGGUGGAAGCUCGAGUAGCUGAAGAAAGUAGUGAUCAAGAAGAACAUGUUUUUGCUGUGUCAUGUGCAGCAAAUCAGAAGAAGGGUUCAAAGGGCUGGCUUCUAGACAGUGGGUGCACAAACCACAUGUCACCAGAUGCAACUAUCUUCAAAACCCUGGACAGAACCUGCAAAACCAAAGUAAAAAUUGGAAAUGGUCAGUUAAUCAAUGCUGAAGGAAGAGGAGAUGUGCUGAUUCAUACUUCUACAGGUGGCAAAAUCAUUUCAAAUGUACUUUUGGUACCUGAAAUCGAUAGGAACCUUCUCAGUAUAACUCAACUACUUGAGAAAGGUUACUCAGUUGUUUUCAAGGAGAAAGAAUGUCAAAUUUUUGAUCCAAGUGGAUCAAAUCUUAUAACAGUCACCAUGACUGAUAAAUGUUUUGAAGUAGACUGGCCAAAUGACUCACAUUCAGCCUGCAUAGCCUCCACUAAUGACUCGAGACUCUGGCAUCAGAGGCUUGGACAUGCAAACUACAAAUCCAUAGCCCGCAUGGUCAAUGAAGGUCUGGCAGAAAAUUUCAUUGAUUCAGUGAAGAAUGAUGAGCUUUGUGAGAUAUGUCAGCAAGGAAAAUUGGCAAGAUUGCCAUUUCCAACAAGCACAACAUGGAGAGCAUCAGAGAAGCUCCAGCUUGUGCAUACAGAUGUGUGUGGACCAAUGAAGACUGAGUCUCUCAAAGGAAGCAGGUACUUUAUUUUAUUUAUUGAUGACUUAACAAGAUACUGCUGGAUUUAUUUUCUAAAACAGAAAUCAGAAGUACCAUCUAUGUUCCUGAAGUAUAAGGCUGCUGUUGAAACUGAGUCUGGUUGCAAACUUAGAGCAAUGAGGUCAGAUAAUGGAACUGAGUACACCUCAGCUCAGUUCCAAGUCUACUGUGAAGAAGCAGGUAUCAAACACCAGUUGACUAAUGUGUAUACACCCCAACAGAAUGGGGUCAGUGAAAGGAAAAACAGAAGCUUGAUGAACAUGGCAAGAUGUCUUCUGUUUGAGAAGAAUUUGCCCAAAAGUCUGUGGGCUGAAGCUGUUAACACAGCAGUUUAUCUCUAAAAUAGGCUCCCAACCAAGGCUCUGGCUGAGAAGACUCCAUUUGAAGCCUGGUUUGGGUUUAAGCCAUCACUGGCUCAUCUCAGAACCUUUGGUUGUCUGUGCUAUACUCAAGUUCCAGCUGAGAAGAGAAGCAAGCUAGACAAAAGAGCUCAAGCAGGGAUCCUGAUCGGCUACAGCUUGGUUAAGAAGGGCUACAGAAUUCUAGAACCUGCUACAAACAAGAUAUUGGUUAGCAGGGAUGUUGUUUUCAAUGAAAAAGGACACUGGAAUUGGGAGAAGGCUGAACCAGAGGCAGUGGCUGAAGAUCUGGCAGUGGACCAAGUUGAAAAUGGUGAAAACACACCUGAAAUGGAUGUAGAUGAUGUUCCAAUCAGAGGCACUCGAUCACUGGCUGAUGUUUAUGAAAGAGCACAAGUGGCUACUGUUGAACCAAAUUGCUUUGAAGAAGCAGAAAACCAGGAGGACUGGAAGCAAGCAAUGAUUGAAGAAAUCAGAAUGAUUGAAAAGAAUCAGACCUGGAGUCUGGUUGAUAAACCAACAAACAGGAAGAUUAUUGGUGUCAAAUGGGUUUAUCGAGUAAAGAACAAUGCUGAUGGUAGCCUAAACAAGUUAAAGGCUAGAUUGGUUGUGAAAGGCUUCAGUCAAAGGUAUGGAUCAGACUACCUGGAAACCUUUGCACCAGUGGCCAGGUUAGACACUAUUAGACUGCUAGUUGCCUUAGCAGCACAAAAACAGUGGCUGAUACACCAACUUGAUGUAAAAUCAGCAUUUCUGAAUGGAUUCCUUGAAGAGGAGAUUUAUGUGGAGCAACCUCAAGGUUUCAAGGUGUCUGGCAAAGAAGAUAUGGUGUACAAGCUCAACAAAGCCUUGUAUGGCUUGAAACAGGCUCCAAGGGCCUGGUAUAGCAGAAUAGAUGGCUAUCUGACCAGUCAAGGAUUUGAAAGAAGUCUUAGCGAGCCAACUCUGUAUGUUAAAUCAACUAGUGCUGAAACUCAGCUCAUUGUCUCAAUAUAUGUCGAUGACCUACUGGUGACAGGAGGAGAUCAUGAGAUGCUAAGCAGUUUUAAAGUCAAAAUGCAACAGCACUUUGAAAUGUCAGACUUGGGAUUGAUGUCUUACUUCUUAGGCAUGGAAGUAACUCAAGCUAAGAAUGGGAUUUGGCUAAGUCAAAAGACCUUUGCUAUGAAGGUUCUCAACAAAUUCUCAAUGGAGAAUUGCAAAGCAACCAGCACACCAGUUGCUGUUGGAGAAAAACUCUCGAGCCAAGACAAGCAUGAAAAGGUUUGUGAAACAACCUAUCGAAGUCUAGUUAGAUGUUUGUUGUAUUUGACUGCUACUAGACCUGACAUAAUGUAUGCUGUGAGUCUACUCUCGAGGUUUAUGCAUUCUUCAAAUGAAAGUCAUUUUAGAGCUGCAAAAAGGGUUCUAAGAUACAUCAAAGGAACUUUGUCCUAUGGAAUGCAGUUUACCAAGGCUGAGAACUUGAGGCUAGUUGGAUAUUGUGACAGUGAUUGGGCUGGUUCUUUGGAUGACAUGAAGAGCACUACAGGUUAUGCAUUCAACAUAGGCUCUGCUAUGAUAUGCUGGAGCUCAAAGAAGCAAGGAGUAGUGGCUCAGUCGACUGCAGAAGCAGAAUAUGUGGCUGCUGCUGCAGCAGUCAAUCAAGCCAUAUGGCUUAGAAAAAUUUUGAAAGAUAUCAAUCAUGAGCAAAAGGAAGCAACUGAGAUAAUGUCUGACAACCAAUCAGCAGUUGCUAUUGCAAAGAAUCCUGUUUUUCAUGGAAGGACCAAGCACUUCAACAUCAAACUUCAUGCAGUUCGGGAAAUGGAACAAGCUCAUGUUGUUAAGCUGAUACAUUGCAGUUCUGAAGAGCAAAUUACUGAUAUUUUAACAAAAGCACUAAGUGUUUCCAAGUUUCAACACCUGAGAGCUAAUAUGGGAGUUUGCAACAUGCUAACCAAGGAGGAGUGUUGAAGUAAUGGUCAGCAUGCAGCAACCAAGACUGUCAAAGGCACUACAUGCAGAAGCUGCUGGUUCACCUAGUCAGCAAGCUGUUUAUGUUUCAUUUUGUAAUUUUAAGUUAGAGUAAUGUAACUUAGUUGCUUUAUAACUAUGUUAGGUUUAUGUUUGAUGUAAUUUUGAUGUUGACUGAGCUGAUAAAUCAGCUUUGUUUGUUUAUUCAAGCUAAUUAGCACAAGUUACUAUGUGUAUUAGUGGUAGUAGGUGAAGUUUAGGUCAACCUACUGUUUUGUCAAGAUUGUAAACUUGUUUUAUGUAUUGGCUUUGUGCCAUAUUUAGUUUGAUGAAUGAAUUCAAGAAGUUAUCAUCCAUAUGCUCUCCAUUUUUAGUUUUGCUUAAAAAUCCAUUUGAGUUUUCUGCUUUGUUUCUCCUACAAGUCACGAGACUUGCCAUACAAGCAUUCUGCUGAAGCUUGCUGCUGCUGCCUCUUGCACCAACAAGAGGUCUAAGCUUUCCAAACUUUUAAGCCCUUUUAAAAAUUGGGGGAAUUCACUAAGAUUGCAAGAUGACAAAAAUAAGCUUGUAAGAUUAACAGUAGAAGUUGUAUUAGAUGUUAAGGAUAGGCUGUUAUAUGAAAGGUCAAGAUAUUCGAGAUUUGGAAGGUUUGAGAACAUGCGAAACUCUAUGACACCACUAAGAUAAUUUGAGGAUAAGCUAAGUUGGGUAAGAUUGAGAAGUUGGAAUAUUGAAGAUGGAAGAGGACCUUGGAGUUUAUUAUUCUCUAACCAUAUCCAUUCUAGUGAUUUGGAUUGGAAUUCUUUGAUAUGCCCACUGAAUUGAUUUUGAGAGAGAUAUAUUGUCUUUAAGGAGGGAGCAAUAUACAACCAUGACGGAAGUGUUCCAUUGAGUAAAUUGUCAGAUAAGUCUAAAUAUAUUAGAUUAUGAAAAGCGGUUACCUCAUCUGGAAUGGAACCUUCUAAAGAAUUGUUAGAUAUUGUCAAGUAUUCCAGCUGCGUUAGGUUUAGAAUUGACAAUGGAAUUUGUCCACUCAAUUUGUUCCAUCCCAAGUCUAAAACAGUGAGUUGCAAGAGGUUCCCCAAUGAUCUUGGAAUCUGUCCACUCAAUUGGUUCAGCCACAAGUCUAAAUGAGUGAGUUGCAAGAGGUUCCCUAAUGAUCUUGGAAUUUGUCCACUCAAUUGGUUCUUCGACAAGUCUAAAUGAGUGAGUUGCAAGAGGUUCCCCAAUUUUCUUGGAAUUUGUCCACUCAAUUGGUUCUCCGACAAGUCUAAAUGAGUGAGUUUCAAGAGAUUCCCCAGUGAUCUUGGAACCAGUCCUGAUAAGUUGGAAUGGGAGAGAACUAAAAACUUCAAGGACACAAGAUUCCCCAUCGAGUCAGGCAAUCCUCCACAAAUAUUUGCGUCUGAAAUUAUCAAUUGUUCAAGAUUGCUGCUCCGAUUGAACUUCAAAGGAUCAAGAUUGAGGUUUUGGUUGCCUCCCAAGUUGAGGAGAUUGAGGUUUGGCAAAUCAAAAAUGUUUUUUGGGAAUUUUCCUUGCAAAUCACAACCAACAAGACUGAGAGACCUUAGAGAAGAGGAUAGAUUCAUGAAGACAUGAGCAUUAACUGAAGACAUGUCCAUUUCAUCCAAAAACAGACGUCUGACCUCGGUUAGGUUGUGAACAAGACCCUCCAGAGCAUAUUUGUCAAUUGUUAAUAGUUCAUCAAACCCAGAAAGAUCAAGUGAAACCAAUUUUGACAGGUGGGAGACUUGGGAUGGGACUUCUGAAAACCAUGUAUUGGAAAGGUUGAGGUAGAAUAGGCUUGUAAACCGACCGAACUCGGAUGGAAUUUUGGAAGAAUUAAAAUCAUUGUAGGCAAGGUUGAGUUUUUGAAGGUGAGGAAGAAGGAAGAGAGUGGUAUUGGAAGGGAAGGUGCCAUAUAGCCAACUGCAGCUCAAGUCAAGGGCAAUAACAUGAGCAUUUAGGUGGUCACAAGUGACCCCAUCCCAUGAGCAGCAAUCUGUACCCUCCUUCCAUGAAUUUGUCUUGGGAUAAGAUUUAAGGCCAGCAAAAUAAUCGCAAUGAUCAAAAGAAGCAUCCUCUCUUAUGGAAAAGGAGUCCUUAAACUGGAUUAGUGAAGAGCAGGAGUGAGAUCCUGAAGAAGAAAAAGAAGCAUAAAGAUGGAGAAAGAAGAGGAAUAGGGAGAGAAAGAGAUAGGAGGCCAUGUUAUGUUGGUAGAGGAAGAUGAAGGAUAGGAAUGGUAUUUAUAGGCAACAAAUAAUACCACAACAUUGGUGUUACAGUCUUUUUUCUUUUACAUUGAAAAGCUAUGGAUAUUAGAUUUUCAAAAUUUUUGUAUUUUUCACAAUCAUCAACAACCACUUUGUCUUCAUUUUACCAUAUAUUUUUCAUUCUUAAAAUUGGAUUAUUUUCUUUUAGCAAAAUCUUGUAUUUCAUUUGAACUCCCUAAACAACUAAAAAAUUAAGAUUGAUAAAAUUACAAAGUAGAUUGACUUAGUCUUCUUCCUUGUAACACGUAAAGAAUUUCCACGCAAAAGAACAAAAUUGUGCUCUAUUCUUUACGUUUGAGGAAGAAGACUGCUGGAAUUUUAAUCCACUGAUUCCAUAAAAACGUGUAUACUUAUAUAUAUAUAUAUUUAUAACCUCAUAAUUUAAAUCUAAAAUCUCAUUUGUUAUAAAUUCUGAUAAAUUUAUUUGGGAAUUGCUAUUUUUCAUUCGUUAAUUAUUUCUCUUUUAAUCGAGUAAAAAAUUAAAACUAAAGACAUAAUGAUUUAUUUGGUAUUUUUUAACUUCGCAAACGAAAAAUUAUUUUAGCUUUCUAUUUUUUUUUAUCUCUUUUAGUCUUGAAAUUUAUAUGGUUCAUUAAAUCACCCAAAAAAAUGAUGAAAAAAAUAACAAAACUAGCACCUACGUGGCUGAUGUUGACCCUUAAUAGUUAAUGGCAACACCUAUGUAGUUGUUAACAGAUACCACACCAACACUGUUUGUUGACGUGACAAUGCCACAUGAUCAAUAAUCGCAGACAUGGUAGCGCCACGCCAUCGCCCAUUGAUGACAUAUUAACCUUUGAGUUAAACUCAAAUAAUUUGGUCCCAAAUAGUUUUCAACACAAAAGAAUAGAGGAAGAAGACUGCUACAGGUUUAACUAUCAAUUGUCUAUUGACUAUACUUUUAACUCCACUAAAAAAGACCAAGACUAAGACUAUCAAUUGUCUAUUGACUACACUUUAACUCGACAAAAAAAGACCAAGACUAAGACUAUCAAUUGUCUAUUGGCUUCACACUUGCUGUUGCUUCCUCCUAUUUCUCUCACCCAAACUUAAUUUACAAGCAAUGUGGAAAUUUUGGACAUUUGCCCACAACGUACAAUACUUCCACACCAUUUGCAGUAUUGACUACGUUUACUUGAGGGAAAACAAAGACAUGAACGCUGGAAAUUUUAACUAGUUUGUACCGUCAAUGAAGCUACGUACCUAAAAGCCAUUUAGGAUAUCAAUUCCUGUAAUUGGAGUAAUCUCAUCGUUGCUGCAAUCUUUUGACAGUUUAAUCGAAUCUUAAAUAUGUUACUCUGCAAUGCUAUUGUAAAUAUUUUUCUUAAAUUUGUCGAUAGAUUUAUAGGUUUGGCACAAAAUUAAGAAUACACAAAGGCAGGUUGAAUUAUUCCAUGUUUGAACAUCUGCAACAUAAAUGCAUAUGGCAAAAGGGCUCAAACCAUACCUUAUGUUCAUGAAUUCUCAUCAUCACGUGUUUAUAAAUGCAACUCAAACUUCAAUAAUUGAAUCUUUUGUAAUUCUACAUGUAUUUUUUUAUUAUGGCGAGCAGUAUAAUGUUUACUAAAAAUUGAAAUUCAAGAAAGAAGACAUAUAUAGUUGCACCAUACAAGAUGUUACACUCGAACUAAACGCUUACAAAUAGUACGAAAUGCAAUUGAAUACAGAGGAAUUGGUACAAUCAUAAAAACAGACACAUACCAAUGCAACUUUUCACCAUAGGAAAAACUUUCUGACAGACUACUAAACAAGAAAUUAUGAAGACACAGUAGAAAUGCUUUAACUUCAUUUGCACCAACUAGAUCAUUCUUCAUCCACUCAUGCGAUUGCUAUAUUUUGGCUUUCUUCUUCGCCUCUUCUCAUGUUGGUCUUCAACCAAAUUCACGAACCUUUUCACCUUAUCGGUUUGGAAAACAACACAUCCCAUGGCCAUUCCAAACACUACCCCGGAUCCAUAACCUAUCAACACCACUUUCCAACCAAAAGCAAUGUUUGCUUUUGAGCCAUCCUUUUCCAGCACAUUUGGAGGUGGUGUCUCAUUGAUGCUGCAACCUUUGGAGACUGGAAAUCCACAUAGUCUCUGUUUCCUUCGUAUGAAUUGUUUCCAAAUGUAUUGAACUGUUUGCCUUGAGGAAUCUGACCAUGGAGUUGAUUUUCGGAAACGUUUAAUAAGGAAAGAAAUGCCGGAUCUGCCAAUAUCUCUGGAAUUAACUCAGUUCAAAAGACUAUAUAACUCGUAAAGUUUGGUCGAAGACUAGCAGGGGUCAAGAAAAAUAAUUACUUGAAUUGUCAAAAUUUUGGAUUUUAGAGAAACAAGCACUAGACUUGGAGCUAUGGUCAUGCAAGGAACCAUGCAUUUCAUUUGACUUUAGUACAAGAACUUGUAGCCGUGGAAGACUUCCCUACCAAUGAGGAAAUGUAUCAUUGAUCUUGUUGUUCCUAAGAUCUAGCACUUCCAAAGACCUAAAAUUGAGGAUGGAUGGUGACAAAUGCCAUUCAAAUUGAUUUCCAUUUAAGUUGAGAUUACUCAAUUGGCAUCCCUUUGCAAAUGUUGGAGGAAUCAAUCCAUAAAACUUGUUCUUCUUUAGAUUCAAAAAUUCCAGGUUGUUGCUCAAAUUUCCAAAACAUUGUAGAAUAGUUCCACUCAAUUUAUUGUGGGACAAGUCAAGAAUUUGGAGAGCACUCACAUUGCCUAUCAAAGAAGAGACCUCUCCACUUAAACUAUUGUUUGAAGUAAAAAACACGUUGAUUGUCGAAGAUGGGAUUGGAAGAUUUCCAUGGAUCAAAUUGGAGCUUAAGUCAAGAAUAUUAAUAUUCUUCCAUGGAAGUUGCUCAACUUCUGUCAAUGAAUUGUGAGAUAAAUUUAAGUAACUCAAAGAGUCACACGUCACUUCUUGCAGCCAUUGUGGAAUCUUCCCUUCAAUUCUAUUGUUAGAAAGCUCCAAAGUUUUCAACUUUUUUAACCCUUUCAAAAAUCGGGGGAAUUGGCUGACAUUAUUUGAGCUUAAGGAUAGGCUGUUUAGUGAAAGGUCAAGAUAUUCGAGAUUUGGGAGAUUUGAGAACAUGCCAAACUCUAUGACACCACUGAAAUUAUUUGAGUAUAAAAGGAGCCAGGUAAGGUUGAGAAAUUGGAAUAUUGAAGAUGGAAGAGGACCUUGGAGAUUAUUAUUCCCUAACACUAUCAUUCUAGUGAUUUGGAUUGGAAUUCUUUGAUGUGUCCACUGAAUUGAUUCUGAGAGAGAGAUAUUUCCAUUAAGGAGAAAGCAUUAUACAACCAUGACAGAAGUUUUCCAUUGGGUAAAUUGUUAGAUAAGUCUAAAGAUAUUAGAUUAGGGAAAGCAGCUACCUCAUCUGGAAUGGGACCUUCUAAAGAAUUUUCAGCUAUUCUCAAGUGUUCAAGCUGUGUUAGGUUUACAAUUGACAAUGGAACUUGUUCACUCAAUUGGUUCCAUGACAAGUCUAAAUAUAUGAGCCACAAGAGGUUCCCCAGAGAUCUCGAAAUUGAUCCCUGUAAAUUGGAAUUAGAGAGAGACAAAUAUUUCAAGACGUGCAGGUUGUCAAUCAAAUCAAUCAAUUUUGAAAAGGAGGACAUCCAUGACAGAUCCAAAUGUUCAAGAUUACUGCUCUGAUUGAACUUCAGAAGAUCAAGAAUCAGGUUUCGGUUGUAUCCUAAGUUGAGCAAAUUGAGGUUUGGCGAAUGAAGAACGUUUCUUGAGAAUUUUCCUUGCAAAUCACAACCACCAAGACUGAGAGACUUUAUAGAAGAGGAUAGAUUGAUGAAAACAUUAGGAUUAAUAGAAGGCAUGAUAAUUCUAUCAAGAAAAAGAUGUCUCACCUCAGUUAGGUUGUGAACAAGUCCCUUCAAAGAAUUUUAUCAAGUGUUAAUUGGUCAGAAAAAACAUUAUGAGAGAGAUCAAGUGAAACCAAUUUUGACGAGUGGGAGAUUUGGGAUGGGACUUUUCCUGCAAAUAACGUUUCUGAGAUGUUAAGAUACACCAGGCUUGUAAACCGGCCGAACUCGGAUGGAAUUUUGGAAAGAUUAAAAUCAUUGUAGGCAAGGUUGAAUUUUUGAAGGUGAGGAAGAAGGAAGAGAGUGGUAUUGGAAGGGAAGUUGCCAUAUAGACAACUGCAGCUCAAGUCAAGGGCAAUAUAUAACUUGAGCAUUUAGGUGGUCACAAGUGACCCCAUCCCAUGAGCAGCAAUCUGUACCCUCAUUCCAUGAAUUUGUCCUGGGAUAAGAUUUAUGGCCAUCAAUCUCAUUGCUAUAAGAAGAAGCAUACUCUGUUAUGGAAAAAGAGUCCUUAAACUGGAUUAGUGAAGAGCAGGAGUGAGAUCCUGAAGAAGAAAAAGAAGCAUAAAGAUGGGGAAAGGUUAAGGUAGAAUAGGCUUGUAAACCGACCGAACUCGGAUGAAAUUUUGGAAAGAUUAAAAUCAUUGAAGGCAAGGUUGAGUUUUUGAAGGUGAGGAAGAAGGAAGAGAGUGGUAUUGGAAGGGAAGUUGCCAUAUAGCCAACUGCAGCUCAAGUCAAGGGCAAUAACUUGAGCAUUAAGGUGAUGACAAGUGACCCCACACCAUGAGCAGCAAUCUGUACCCUCCUUCCAUGAAUUUGUCUUGGGAUAAGAUUUAAGGCCGGCAAAAUCAUCGCAACACAAAGCAGCAUGGCCUGUCUGAGUGAUCGAAAAUGAAUUCUUGAACUGGAUUAGAGAAGCAGCUUCGUGGUGAGAGCAGGAGUGAGAUCCUGAAGAAGAAGAAGCAUAAAGAUGGGGAAAGAAGAGGAAUAGGCAGAGAGAGAGAUAGGGGCCAUGUUAUGUUUGUAGAGGAAGAUGAAGGAUAGGAAUGGUAUUUAUAGGCAACAAAUAGAAUCCAAUAUUAAACAAAAGAUUUGAUGAUUAAUACCACAACACCACUGUUACAGUGUUGUUUCUUUUAUGGUAUAAAGAUUGUUAUUGGAAGAGUUUGAAAUGCUGACAUUGAAAACCUAUAUUUUUCAAUACUCAUCAACAACCACUUCCUUUUUACCAUAUCUUUUUCAUUCCCAAAAUUGGAUACAUUGUUUUACCAAAAUUUUGUAUUUCAUUUGAACUCCCUAAACAACUGAGAAAAUUAACAUUGAUGAGAUUACAAAGUAGAUUGACUUAGUCUUCUUCCUUAUAAUAGGUAAAAAAAAAAUGUGAGUGUCUAUUCACUUAUAAUAUUUCCAUGCUAGAGGUAGUUUUUGGAAAAUCUUUAAUUAAAUCUUAAUUUCAUUUUGUUAAAAUUUUAAACUGGGUUAUCGAAUUGGCUUCUGAUUGUAGGUUGAUCAAUGAUGGGCCGAUUUCUUCUUCUUCUUUUUUAAUUUUUUUAGGGUUAAUUUAUAAUAUACUGCUUAAUGUUGUUGAUUUAUUUUUCUGGUCAUCGUUUCAUCCGUUUGUUGAAGAUAACUGAAUUUUUAUUGGUUGUAAUUGGACUUGGGUUUUAGCCAAUGACUAUAAUCAAAGGGUUAAUUUAAGGUUCCAAUGAAUUGUUUGAAAAUUUUAUUAUUUUUCUUUUCAAUUAGUUGUUUUACAAGGAUUUAACUUAUAUUAGUCAAAUGAACUGGCUUUAAAAAAUGAACAAGAACGAAGAAAUUGGAUGGUUAACUGGACACUGGAAAGGGGGAAUGCUAAAAGUUGUAAAUGUUUUGAAUAUAGAGUUGUAUUCUUUUCAUGGCUUCAGAAAAAUGUAUGCAAUGUUUGGCCAGCGAUAAUGGACAAGUUUUUUUAAACCUCCAUGCCUUAGUCAUGCUUUCAUAAACAUGGGCAGCUAACACCGAGAAGUCUCAUUGAAUGUAGUAAGCGAUUUAAAAGUGAAGCUCAUAUGCGACCGGGGAUGGUUGAUUUGAGGUUUAAUUCUAGCUAGUAGAUUCUGUUGUUUGUUAAGCGUCUUUUUGGAGACAAAUGUCUGAGAUUGCUGGAAAAUGCUUCUUACCAUCAUAUUAAUGUGUAUUUGGGUUGCGUUUUCUUAGAGUUUUGGAUUCUUUGCAUCAUAUCAUAAAAUUGAGUUAGAUAUAACAUCUCAUUGUUAUCUGUUAAUUGUUUCACUUGGGACCAGGAGCAUGCUGGCAACUCAAUACAGCUGUAAAUGCAUAUUUCAGUGAGGGUGAUAGGUAUAUAUUUAUGAAUUAUCCUAAUAUUUUUUAUGAUAAGUAAUUCUAGGUUUAUAGCUUUAUUUGUUUGUUUGUUUUCUCGUGUUUCCUACAAAAAAAGGCCAACAUCAACCAUAGUUCCUGUAGAUGAUGCCAUGGAUAUAGAUGAUCCAAAUGAAGUAGUACCAAAUGGGCCAGUCCUUCCAUUUCUACCAUCAUCUAGAACAAACGAACAAUCGUCUCUUUUUCUGAAAUUUCCGGCGCGACGCCUGUGCGGGGGGCCUUGGCCGGAAUCUGGACUUAGUCCAGAGAGUUUUUUUUUCUUUCUUCUGUUUUUUUUUUUCAAUGUUCAAAUGAUUUUUUUUCUCAAAACACUAAUUUUUAUGCCCAGUGAAACGGCGCCGUUUUGGCUAAGCUCCAAAACACCCAAAACGACGUCGUUUCACUCGCCACCAACUUGAAUUUUAUAACUACUCCUAUGCCAACCAGCAAACCAUAACAGCGUACAUAAAAAAGAGGAUGCUGACUUACAAUUCCUUUCAUUUCACCAUAACCAAUCAAAUCCCUUGCAAUGCUGUUUGGAUCACAGCAGCUCAUCUUUCAAUCCUAGAUGGCUCCGCUAAUUUUUUGAAAGCAUACAUAAACUGUUAAAGAAAUAAAUGGAUAAAACAACUACAGGAUAGAAGGCUGAAAAAUUACAAAGUGCAAUGACCUUAUUGUUAAAAUUUCAACGCCCAUUCCUUGGAAAGAUAUCUUCACCAUUGCCCACUCAAGAGAACUCAAAUAGCAGCAAGAUCUAGUAUAAAAUGUAACUCUCAACAACACACACAAAUGUUUGUUCUAUCAAGGAGCAAUACACAGACAUAUUCACCUACCCUUGGUUCUAGCUUUGCAUAUUACAUAACACUCUUCAAAUGUCUUAUUAAAUUCUCACUUUUACGAGUGCUAUGAUAAUCAAAUAAAAUUCAAUUCAAUUUUAAGUUCCAUAUAACACUUACAUGGCUACAAAAUGUGUGUGUGUUUAAGUGUCGACAACCACAAACAAUCCAAAUUUGCAGAGAAACCACCCAUUAUAUAUAGGUUUGCCAAUGAGAUGGCAAGCAGAUUGCUAGCUAGAAAUUCAUGCAUCUUUGAAUCACCAGUUCAAUUAAUAAGCUUAAGUAGAGGAAAUAGGGACUUUACAUCCACCAAUUAAAGCAACCUAUAUGUACCCUUUUACAGUCUGCAUUGUUCCAUGUUUCAAUUCAUUACAUCAUUCCUUCAACUCUGCUAUAUAUUAUUACCGUCUCCAGAUAACCAAACCUUUUACUGCUAACUUGUAAAAAAAUUAUGAAAAUACAACAGAGAUCAUUGAGACAUUGUUGAAGUUGGCUUGCAUGCAGAGCAAGAAGCAGACCAAGCUGUCCGAGCCAUGCAAGUUGCAGCUGAAGCUUAUGCUGCUGUUUUGUUACUUUCAAAUAGAUAUUUUAUUACUUAGUUAGAUAUGAACUAAGUUGUUGAUAUGCUUGAUGUGAUUAGGUGCUGAUAGAUUGAUAAAUCAGCUUUACCAAGUGUACAAGCAAUGUUUAUCAAGUUACUAAGCCACUUAGUGGAGUUAGGCACGUGUUUAGGUAACAUUUUCUUAUUUUUGACCAGCUGAUUGCUCGGUAUAUGUAAUGGAAUUGUGCCUUCAUUUGGUCUUUACUUAAGCAUUUUUAUUCAAAAAGCUCUUGCUGUUUUUGUUUUGUUUGUUGUGCAAGAUAUCAAUGCUUUAUGCUUAAGUUUCUGUCAAAAUUUCUCAUUCUGUUUUCUUAGUUCCUACAGACAUUUUGUUCUCCUUUCUCCUUUACUGAGCAGUAGCAAAGAUUAUUGAGACUAAAUUGAAAUCCAUGAAAGAAGACAUAAACAACACCACCAUACAAAAUGUCACACUCAAACAAACCAUUACAGAUAGUACGAAAUGCAAUGAAAGACAGAGGAAUUGGUACAAUAAUAAAGACAGCCAGAUACCAAUGCAACCCUUCACCAUAGGCACAACGGUCUACAAACAAGAAAUUAUGAAAAAUACAACACUAAUUCUUGAACAUCAUUUGCAGUAAUUAGAUCCUUCUUCGUCUACUGCUGCGAUUGCCUUUCUUUGACUUUCUUCUUCGCCUCUUCUCAUGUUGGUUUUCAACCAAAUUCACCAACCAUUUUGGCUUUCCAGUUUGGAAAACAACAUAUCCCACGGACAUUCCGAACACUACUCCGCAUCCACAACCUAUCAUCACCACUUUCCAACCAAAAGCAAUGUUUGAUUUUGAGCCAUCUUUUUCAAGCACAUUUGGAGGUGGUGGGUCAAUGAUGUUGCAACCUUUCGAGACCGGAAACCCACACAGUCCCUUAUUUCCUUCAUAUGAAUCAUUUCCAAAUGUGUUGAAUUGUUUGCCUUGGGGAAUCUUACCAUGGAGUUGAUUUUCAGAAACAUUUAAGGACGAAAGAAACGGCAGAUCUGCCAAUCUAUUUGGAAUCGCCCCAGACAACCUGUUUGAAGAUAGGUCCAACCAUUCAAGACUUGUCAAAUUCCCUAUUGAUGUGGGGAUACCACCAUUAAGGUUAUUAUGAGAAAGGUUGAGCCCUUUCAGUAAGUUAAGCUUCCCAAUAACCUUUGGAAUACCCCCUUCAAACUGAUUGUUUGAUAGAUCAAUGAUCAUCCACAUGGUGAAAAUUUUCACCAAUUCCCUAUCUUGUCCUUUCAUAACAAUUCCAAUGGAAUAGGUAUAGAAGUCACCUCCAUCAUCAUUCACCCCCAUGUACGACACUGUACUACCAAUCUUCUCUAGAUUUAUGAUAGCCUUGAAGCUGUUGAUGUAUCUCACUGGUAGGGGUCCAGAAAAAUAAUUACUUGAGAGAUCAAAAAUUUGGAUUUUAGAGAAAAAAGGGAUAGACUUGGAGCUAUUGACACAUAAGGAACCAUGCAAUUGAUUUGACUUCAAUACAAGAACUUGUAGCCGUGGAAGACUUCCCAACCAAUGAGGAAAUGUAUCAUUGAUCUUGUUGUUACCAAGAUCUAGCACUUCCAGACCAUUACAAUUAAGGAUGGAUGGUGUCAAAGGCCCUUCUAACAGAUUUCCAUUUAAGUUGAAAUUACUCAAUUGGCAUCCCAUUGCAAAUGUUGGAGGAAUCGUCCCAUAGAACUUGUUCUUCUUCAGAUUCAAGAAUAGAAGGCUGUUGCUCAAAUUUCCAAAACAUUGUGGAAUUGUUCCACUCAAGUUAUUGUGGGACAAAUCAAGAAUUUCAAGAAAAGCGGCAUUGCAUAUUAAAGAAGAGACCUCUCCAUUGAAACUAUUAUUAGAGAUCAAAAAGACAUUGAUGGUCGAAGCUGGAAUCGGAAGAUUUCCACUGAUCAAAUUGGAGCUUAAGUCAAGAACGUCAAUAUUCUUCCAUGGAAAGUGCUCAACUUCUGUCAAAGAGUUGUGAGAUACGUUUAAGUAAGUCAAAGAGUCAUUCCCCACCUCUUGCAUCCACUGUGGAAUCUUGCCUUCAAUUUUGUUGUAAGAGAGGUCUAAGCUUUCCAAACUUUUAAGCCCUUUUAAAAAUUGGGGGAAUUCACUAAGAUUGCAAGAUGACAAAAACAACCUUGUAAGAUUAACAGUAGAAGUAGUAUUAGAUGUUAAGGAUAGGCUGUUAUAUGAAAGGUCAAGAGAUUCGAGAUUUGGAAGGUUUGAGAACAUGCGAAACUCUAUGACACCACUAAGAUAAUUUGAGGAUAAGCUAAGUUGGGUAAGAUUGAGAAGUUGGAAUAUUGAAGAUGGAAGAGGACCUUGGAGUUUAUUAUUCUCUAACGCUAUCCAUUCUAGUGAUUUGGAUUGGAAUUCUUUGAUAUGCCCACUGAAUUGAUUUUGAGAGAGUUUUAUAUCCUUUAAGGAGGGAGCAGUAUACAACCAUGAUGGAAGUUGUCCACUGAGUAAAUUGUUAGUUAAGUCUAAAGAUAUUAGAUUAGGAAAAGCGGUUACCUCAUCUGGAAUAGAACCUUUUAAUGUAUUUCCAGCUAUUCUCAAGUAUUCCAGCUGCGUUAGGUUUAGAAUUGACAAUGGAAUUUGUCCAUUCAAUUGGUUCUGCCACAAGCCUAAAUAAGUGAGUUGCAAGAGGUUCCCCAAUGAUCUUGGAAUUUGUCCACUCAAUUGGUUUUGCCACAAGCCUAAAUAAGUGAGUUGCAAGAGGUUCCCCAAUGAUCUUGGAAUUUGUCCACUCAACUGGUUCCCCGAUAAGUCUAAAUGAGUGAGUUGCAAGAGAUUCCCCAGUGAUUUUGGAACCGGUCCUGAUAAGUUGGAAUAGGAGAGAUCUAAAAACUUCAAGGACACAAGAUUACCCACCGAGUCUGGCAAUCCUCCAAAAAAAUUUGCGCCUGAAAUUAUCAAUUGCUCCAAAGAUGAUAAAUUUGUGAUUGAGACAGACAAUCCUUGAAAGAAAAAAUUUCCUGAUAGACCUAAGGACUUUAAGGCCUGUAGAUUAUCAACUGAAUCAAUGAAUUCUGUAGAGAAGGACGUCCAUGACAGAUCCAAAUGUUCAAGAUUGCUGCUCCGAUUCAACUUCAAAGGAUCAAGAUUGAGGUUUUGGUUGUUUCCCAAGUUGAGGAGAUUGAGGUUUGGCAAAUCAAAAAUGUUGUUUGGGAAUUUUCCUUGCAAAUCACAACCAGCAAGACUGAGAGACCUUAGAGAAGAGGAUAGAUUCAUGAAGACAUGAGCAUUAACAGAAGCCAUCUCCAUUCCAUCCAAAAACAGAUGUCUGACCUCGGUUAGGUUUUGAACAAGUCCCUCCAGAGCAUGUUUGUCUCCUACAAACCCUGUACUGGAAAGGUCGAGGUAGAGUAGGCUUGUAAACCGACCUAACUCGGAUGGAAUUUCGGAAAGAUUAAACUCAUUGUAGGCAAGGUUGAGUUUUUGAAGGUGAGGAAGAAGGAAGAGAGUGGAAUUGGAAGGGAAGUUGCCAUAUAGCCAACUGCAGCUCAAGUCAAGGGCAAUAACAUGAGCAUUUAGGUGGUCACAAGUGACCCCAUCCCAUGAGCAGCAAUCUGUACCCUCCUUCCAUGAAUUUGUCUUGGGAUAAGAUUUAUGGCCAGCAAUCUCAUUGCAAUAAGAAGAAGCGUCCUCUGUUAUGGAAAAAGAGUCCUUAAACUGGAUUAGUGAAGAGCAGGAGUGAGAUCCAGAAGAAGAAAAAGAAGCAUAAAGAUGGGGAAAGAAGAGGAAUAGGCAGAGGAAGAGAUAGGGGGCCAUGUUAUGUCUGUAGAGGAAGAUGAAGGAUAGGAAUGGUAUUUAUAGGCAACAAAUAAUACCGCAGUGUUACAGUCUUUUUUUCUUUUACAUUGAGAAGCUAUGGAGAUUAGAUUUUCAAAAUUUUUGUAUUUUUAACAAUCAUCAACAGUCACUUAGUCUUCUUUUUACCAUAUAUUUUUCAUUCUUAAAAUUGGAUGCUAUCUUUUCGCAAAAUCUUGUGGAAAUUCUUUAGCCUUCUUCUCUAUAACACUUAAAGAAUGUGUGUAUGUAUUCAUUUGCCUGUCAACUAAAGCUAAUUAAUGUGGAAAUUCUUUUCCACCCAAAAGAACAAAAUUGUGCUCUAUUCAUUAAGUUUGAGGAAGAAGAUUGCUGGAAAUUUAAUCUACCGAUUCCAUAAAAAACGUGUAUACUUAUAUAACCUCAUAAUUCAAAUCUAAAAUCUCAUUUGUUAUAAAUUCUGAUAAAUUUCUUUGGAAUUGCUAUUUUUCAUUUGUUAAUUAUUUCUCUUUUAAUCGAGUAAAAAAUUAAAACUAAAAAGACAUAAUGAUUUAUUUGGCAUUUUUAAACUUUACAAAUAAAAAAUCAUUUUAGCUUUUCAUUUUUUUAUCUCUAUUAAAUCACCCAAAAAAAAUAAUGAAAAAGACUAACAAAACUAGCACCUACGUGGCUGAUGUUGACCCUUAGUAGUUAAUGACAACAUCUACGUAGUUGUUAACAGAUACCACACUAACACUGUUUGUUGACGUGACAAUGCCACAUGAUCAAUAAUCACCGACAUGGUAGCGCCACGCUAUCGCCCAUUGGUGACAUAUUGAUGUUUGAGUUAAACUCAAAUUACUAUUUCCUUUGUUAUAAAUUAAGAGUAUAACUAAUUUUGAUAAGAAUGAUUACUUUUCAUUAACUCAGUCUAAAGGACUAUAACACGUAAAGUUUGGCCUAUUGCAGAAUUCACAUGCAAUGCGGGGCAUUUACAUUAUGCAGAAUUCGGCACAUAUAUGGGAAUUUUUGUAUUUCCACAAUCAUCAUGUUGUUCGUGAUCAACAACUACUUCCUUUUUACCAUAUAUUUUUCAUUCAUAAAAUUGAUUACUUUUUUUUUUACGAAAGAAGUAAAAUUAUUAACAUUCAUGAUAUUACAAAGCCUUCUUCCUUAUAACACGUCAAGUUUGGCCCCAAAUAAUUUUCCAGACAAAAGAAUUAAGAGGAAGGAGACUGCUACAGAUUGACUAUACUUUUAACUCCACAAACAAAGACUAAGACUAUCAAUUGUCUAUUGACUACACUUUAACUCGACAAAAACAGAUUGACUAUACUUUUAACUCCACAAACAAAGACUAAGACUAUCAAUUGUCUAUUGACUUCACUUUAACUCGACAAAAACAGACUAAUAAGACUUUGGUUGGCUGUAAUGGGCUAUUGACUAUACUUUAACUCCGCAAAAAAAGACUAAGGCUAUCAAUUGUCUAUUGACUUCACACUUGCUGUUGCUUCCUCCUAUCUCUAUCACUUGCUUCCUCCUAUCUCUAUCACCCAAACUUAAUUUACAAGCAAUGUGGAAAUUUUGGACAUUUGGGCCACAAUGUACAAUACUUCCACACCAUUUGCAGUAUUGACUACGUUUACUUGAGGGCAAACAAAGACAUGAAUGCUGGAAAUUUUAACUAGUUUGUACCGUCAAUGAAGCUACGUACCUAAAAGCAAUGUAUUAUCACCGUCUCCAGAAAUUUUGCUAAUUCAAUUUCCCAAGAAAUAUGAUUAAUUUUGGUUAAAUUGGAGUGAACAUUACUAUUUCUGUUUUAGCAAUUAAAGCAACCUAUAUGUACCCUUUUACAGUCUGCAUUGUUCCAUGUUUCCAUUCAUUACAUCAUUCCUUCAACUCUGCUAUAUAUUAUCACCGUCUCCAGAGAACCAAACCUUUUACUGCUAACUUGUAAAAAAAUUAUGAAAAUACAACAGAGAUUAUUGAGACAUUGUUGAAGUUGGCUUGCAUGCAGUAGACAUUGUUAAUCUUAUUAUUAUUAUUAUUAUUAUUAACUCAUGAACCCAUGGUUACACUUCCAACAGAGGUGAGAGAGGUUAAGAGUAGCCAUGAGCCAUCUAGUCAUGCUCCUGUUGUUGAGGAUGCCUCUGAAACUGCACAAGCUCUCAGCCCGAAUUCAAAUCUAAAAUCUCAUUUGUUAUAAAUUCUGAUAAAUUUAUUUGGGAAUUGCUAUUUUUCAUUCGUUAAUUAUUUCUCUUUUAAUCGAGUAAAAAAUUAAAACUAAAAAGACAUGAUAAUUUACUUGGCAUUUUUUAACUUUACAAACAAAUAGUCAUUUUAGCUUUCCAUUUUUUUUUUCUCUUUUAGCCUUGAAACUUAUAUGGUUCCUUAAAUCACUCCAAAAAAAAUGAUGAAAAAGACUAACAAAUUCUAGCACCUACGUGGCUGAUGUUGACCCUAGUAGUUAAUGGCAACACCUACGUAGUGGUUAACAGAUACCACACCAACACUGUUUGUUGACGUGACAAUGCCAAAUGGUCAAUAAUCGCUGACAUGGUAGCGCCACGCCAUCGCCCAUUGAUGACAUGUUAACCUUUGAGUUAAACUCAAAUUACUCUUUCCUUUGUUAUAAAUUAAGAGUAUAAAUAAUUCUGAUAAGAAUAGUUACUUUUCAUUAACUCAGUUUAAAGGACUAUAACACGUAAAGUUUGGUCUAUUGCAGAAUUCACAUGCCAUGCGGGACGUUUACAUUAUGCAGAAUUCAACACAUAUAUGGGAAUUUUUGUAUUUCCACAAUCAUCAAAUAAUUUUCAUAAAUUGAUUACUUUCUUUUUACCAUAUAAUUUUCAUUCAUAAAUUGAUUACUUUUUUUUUACAAAAGAAGUAAAAUAAUUAAUAUUCGUGAGAUUACAAAGUCUUCUUCCUUAUACACGUCAAGUUUGGUCUCAAAUAAUUUUCCACACAAAAGAAUACUUUUAACAAUCAAUUGUCUAUUGACUAUACUUUGAACUCCACAAAAAAGACUAAGACCUUCAAUUGUCUAUUGACUACACUUUAACUCGACAAAAAAAGACUAAGACUAUCAAUUGUCUAUUGACUAUCAAUUGGUUCCAUGACAAGUCUAAAUAUAUGAGCCACAAGAGGUUCCCCAAUGAUCUCGAAAUUGAUCCCCGUAAAUUGGAAUUAGAGAGAGACAAAUAUUUCAAGACAUGCAGGUUGUCAAUCAAAUCAAUCAAUUUCGUAAAGGAGGACAUCCAUGACAGAUCCAAAUGUUCAAAAUUACUGCUCUGAUUGAACUUCAGAAGAUCAAGACUAAGGAUUCGGUUGUAUCCUAAGUUGAGCAAAUUGAGGUUUGGCGAAUGAAGAAUGUUUCUUGAGAACUUUCCUUGCAAAUCACAACCACCAAGACUGAGAGACUUUAUAGAAGAGGAUAGAUUCAUGAAAACAUUAGGAUUAAUAGAAGGCAUGAUAAUUCUAACAAGAAAAAGAUGUGUCACCUCAGUUAGGUUGUGAACAAGUCCCUCCAAAGAAUUUUAUCAAGAGUUAAUUGGUGAGAAAAAACAUUAUGAGAGAGAUCAAGUGAAACCAAAUUUGACGAGUGGGAGAUUUGGGAUGGGACUUUUCCUGUAAAUAACGUUUUUUAGAUGUUAAGAUACACCAGCCUUGUAAACCGACCGAACUAGGAUGGAAUUUUGGAAAGAUUAAAAUCAUUGUAGGCAAGGUUGAGUUUUUGAAGGUGAGGAAGGAGGAAGAGAGUGGUAUUGGAAGGGAAGUUGCCAUAUAGCCAACUGCAGCUCAAGUCAAGGGCAAUAACAUGAGCAUUAAGGUGAUGACAAGUGACCCCAUACCAUGAGCAGCAAUCUGUACCCUCCUUCCAUGAAUUUGUCUUGGGAUAAGAUUUAAGGCCGUCAAAAUCAUCGCAAUACAAAGCAGCAUGGUCUGUCUGAGUGAUCGAAAAUGAAUUCUUGAACUGGAUUAGAGAAGCAGCUUCGUGGUGAGAGCAGGAGUGAGAUCCUGAAGAAGAAGAAGCAUAAAGAUGGGGAAAGAAGAGGAAUAGGCAGAGAGAGAGAUAGGGGCCAUGUUAUGUUUGUAGAGGAAGAUGAAGGAUAGGAAUGGUAUUUAUAGGCAACAAAUAGAAUCCAAUAUUAAACAAAAGCUUUGAUGAUUAAUACCACAACACCACUGUUACAGUGUUGUUUCUUUUAUGGUAUAAAGAUUGUUAUUGGAAGAGUUUGAAAUGCUGACAUUGAAAACCUAUAUUUUUCAAUACUCAUCAACAACCACUUCCUUUUUACCAUAUCUUUUUCAUUCCCAAAAUUGGAUACAUUGUUUUACCAAAAUUUUGUAUUUCAUUUGAACUCCCUAAACAACUGAGAAAAUUAACAUUGAUGAGAUUACAAAAUAGAUUGACUUAGUCUUCUUCCUUAUAAUACGUAAAAAAAAAUGUGAGUGUCUAUUCACUUAUAAUAUUUCCAUGCUAGAGGUAGUUUUUGGAAAAUCUUUAAUUAAACCUUAAUUUCAUUUUGUUAAAAUUUUUAACUGGAUUAUCGAAUUGGCUUCUGAUUGUAGGUUGAUCAAUGAUGGGCUGAUUUCUUCUUCUUCUUUUUUAAUUUUUUUAGGGUUUAUAAUAUACUGCUUAAUGUUGUUGAUUUAUUUUUCUGAUCAUCGUUUCAUUCGUUUGUUGAAGAUAACUGAAUUUUUAUUGGUUGUAAUUGGACUUGGGUUUUAGCCAAUGACUAUAAUCAAAGGGUUAAUUUAAGGUUCGAAUGAAUUAUUUGAAAAUUUUAUUAUUUUUCUUUUCAAUUAGUUGUUUUACAAGGAUUUAACUUAUAUUAGUCAAAUGAACUGGGUUUAAAAAAUGAACAAGAACGAAGAAAUUGGAUGGUUGACUGGACACUGGAAAGGGGAAAAGCUAAAAGUUGUAAAUGUUUUGAAUAUAGAGUUGUAUUCUUUUCAUGGCUUCAGAAAAAUGUAUGCAAUGUUUGGCCAGCGAUAAUGGACAAGUUUUUUUAAACCUCCAUGCCUAAGUCAUGCUUUCAUAAACAUGGGCAGCUAACACCGAGAAGUCAGUAAGCGAUUUAAAAGUGAAGCUCAUAUGCGUCAUUGCUACUCGCUUUGCAGCUAAACUCCUGAGUGACCGGGGAUGGUUGAUUUGAGGUUUAAUUCUAGCUAGUAGAUUCUUAGGUUUGUUAAGGGUCUUUUUGGAGACAAAUGUCUGAGAUUGCUGGAAAAUGCUUCUUACCAUCAUAUUAAUGUCUAUUCGGGUUGCGUUUUCUUAGAGUUUUGGAUUCUUUGCAUCUUAUCAUAAAAUUGAGUUAGAUAUAACAUGUCAUUGUUAUCUGUUAAUUGUUUCACUUGGGACCAGGAGCAUGGUGGCAACUCAAUACAGCUGUAAAUGCAUAUUUCAGCGAGGGUGAUAGGUAUAUAUUUAUGAAUUAUGCUAAUAUUUUGUUAUGAUAAGUAAUUCUAGGUUUAUAGCUUUAUUGGUUUGUUUGUUUUCUCAUGUUUCCUACAAAAAUAAGGCCAACAUCAACCAUAGUUUCUGUAGAUUAUGCCAUGGAUAUAAAUGAUCCAAAUGAAGUUGUACCAAAUGGGCCAGUCCCUUCCAUUUCUACCAUCAUCUAGAACAAACGAACAAUCGUCUCUUCAUCAUCGAAACUUCCAUAGCAGUUUCUUCGAUGGUGAUUCUGGUUCAACUUAUGAACCAAUUGAUACAUAUCCAACAGAGGUGAGAGGGGUUAAGUAUAGCCAUGAGCCAUCUAGUCAUGCUCCUGUUGUUGAGGAUGCCUCUGAAACUGCACAAGCUCUCGGCCCGAAUUCCCAUGAGACUGUUACAAUUGGUGAAGUAGGUGACGAUUCAAUUGCGCAGCCAAGGUGGCAGAAUGAUAACUGUAACAACCAGCAUGUUACACCCAGCGCUCCUGCCUUUGAUAAUUUGCUAGACUAUGGCGAUGACAUUGAAGAACAAAUGAUUCAAGCUGCCAUUGAGGCCUCUAAGCGGGAUGCUGAGGCAAGUUUUAAAAAAAGGACGCUUCCAAUUUGAUAGUGUUGUGGUGCCCUUCAUUCUUGUAGUUGCUGUAAAUGCUUGUUUUACAGAUUGCCUUUUUCAUGUUUAAAGUGUUAAAGUGUUGCAAAUUGAAGUGUUUUAAGUAAUGCAAAUUGAAUUGUUUAGUUGCUGGAAAUUGAGAUGUUUUAUGGCCGUAAUUGAGUGUAUAAAUGUUGUAAAUUGAAGUGUUUUAUUGCUGGAAAUUGGAUGCAUGGUAUAAUGACAUGAUAGAAUGUCAUUACAAUGUUGUAACUUUUUGAUGUUGUAAAAUCAUAUGGAUUAUGACAUCUAAACUAAUGAAAUCGUGUAACUUUUUAUUAAUAUAUGAAUAUUAUGUUGGGAUGUGAAAUAUAAUUCUCAAGUUAUUUAUUACUUCUAAUAUCUAAUAUUUCAUUGUAGAAUAAUUAAAAUUAUUUGUUUCACUAAUGAUAUUUUAGCACAUUCAAUAUCUAUUGCAGUUUAAAAAUAAUAAUUUAGAUUAUAUAUUAUUUUUAUAGUAUUAUAUAUUAUGAUUUUAGUAAAUUCAUAUAAUAGUAAUUAUAUUAAGAAUUUUAUUAAAUUAUAUUUAAUAAUAAUUAUGUUAAAAUAUGGUUAAAUUAUUUAUUAUCUUUAUUAAAUUAUUUUUAAUAAUAAUCUUUUUAAAAUUUAAUAACAAUAACAAAAAUCAUCUACUUAAAAAAGAUUCUGCUAAGGGUAUUCUAGUCAUUUUAGUUUUUUCCUUAUGCAAUUACAACAUCAUUCCAUUCAACCAAACACAAGAAUACCAUUACAGUUCUAUUCCGUUCCAUUCAACCAAACAAUUGAAUUACUGAUUACAGCUCUAUUCCAUUACAGUGAACCAAAUAUAUCCUUAGUAUGAAUGGCUGUCGAGGCAUGUAGAAAUUUGCACACAAAAGAACAAAAUUGUGCACUACUUAAAACUUCAAAGCAUGUGUGGCCUUAAUUUAAUUUUUCAUCUUUUUUAGCCCUUAAACCUACAUUGUUUAUCAGAUGAAAAAAUUAAUAUCUAUUAACUUUGCUAAUGUGCAAGCAUAUGCAACUUCUUUUAAAUCUAAAAAAUAUAAAAAUAAUUAAAUAUGUAUAAAUCUAAAGAUAUCUUAAACUUAAAACUAAAAUUUUUUAAACUAAUGCAAAUUUUUAUUAUUUAAAAAAUCUUAAAAUUUUCAAAUUAAAUUCCAUUUGUUUUCCACCGUUGAAGAACACCUUUAAUCACAACUUCAUGCUGUAUUGCCUAGAAAUUGUUUUGCAAAUUUAUUUUGUUUUAUUUAUUUCUAAACCCAUAUUUCUUUUCUAUAACUCCAAUUAUUAGAUUGUUUAGGGUUUUGAGUAACUUUCGAUUUUGGAAUUUUAGAUUUUUUAAAUUUAAAUAUGAAGUGCUCUUCUUCUUCUCCAAACCCACAAAUUUUUCUGCCAAAUUUCUACUCAAGGUUUUACUUUCAGCUAUAAAUAAAGCGUAUAUUAUAUUUAUAAUGAUCUAAGAAUAGUAGAGUCGAUGCCGAUCUACAUGAAAAAGGAUGAAAAAAAAAGGCAAAGAAUGAUAAUAUGAAGAGAGCAUAAAUCAAUAAAGCAAAUGAAAAACGAGCAGGAUUAAAGUAAAUGGGUAUUUAAUAUUUUUUUGUGAAAGUUCAAAGACUGAUUAUUUAUAAAAUUGGAUGUGGAAAAAUUAGUUGGAAUUUUUUUUCUUACACCAAUUGAUUUUUUAUAUAAAAUUUUUAUUUAUUUUUAAGUGUUGAAACCACUUUUUGAAAACAAAAAAAAAGUGUUACUUUUAUUUUGAAAACGGAAACGAAAAAAUGGGAGUCGCCACCGAUAUUUUUUUUGAGGUGUGAUCGGAUCACCUUAAAACAAUUUUGGUCUACGAAUAAAAAAAUGGGUCCGGGAGUCAAUUACGUAGGAGGAAGGAUUAGCACCCUCAUAACGCCCAAAAUUGAUACCGAAUUGCAUAAUUAAUGUCUUAAAGUCGAAUGUCGAAAAUUCAAAAAGAUUAAAAAUGAUCCCCUUUAAUUAAUGACAUAUUUUUAAACAAUAUUUGUAUAAAUUUGAUCAUAUGUAGAAAGGUCUUCUCAUCCUGAGUCAACAAAAUGUCGUAUCCCAUAAGUUAGGAUGCGACAUUUAGAUUUCCGAGCAUAAUCUAGCCUUUAAAACCCUUUAUUGAAACUUUAUGUAUUUGAAAACUAAAAAUGUUUGACCAUCUUGGUUCAAUGAGGAAAUCGAAAACCCGUAAGUUAGGACAAAUUUCCUCAAAGUUCCAAAGACGAUAUAUACGUUUGCCUUUAUUUAAAAAAAAAAGAUACUCGGUUACUUAAAUUCAACGAGGAAAAUUGGAGCCUAAUAAGUUAGGGCACAAUCUUCUCGAAAAUAUUGGAUACCGGGUAUUACGUUAUUUUGAAAACUUUGAAUAAAAUGAUUUCAAUACUUUGACUAAACGCAACAUUUUAAAUGAAUAAAAUGCGAUGGAACAAUAACGUAUAACGCGAAGUGAUAAUUCGUAAACUAAAAUAUACGCUAAUGAUCGACAAAGAAUCAAUGAAUACGAGUAAGCAAUACAAUACAUCAUAUAAGAGCAACAAUCUCAUAUCCCACAUUAUGCAAAUACUAACAUCCAUUUUAGCAAGCUAAAUGAAUUAAAAGUUAAUUAAAGAACAGCAAGCAAAUUAAUGUAAAUCUAAUAUAACAAGCUUUAAAAUAAAAUAAAAAUAAAAAUCAUGAAAAAGAGGAAAAUUCAAACACUAAAUUGUAUGUAUAAAAUAUUUGGCACAAAUAAUAUAUAGGAAAACUUGCAAUAAAAAAAUGAAGAAAAUAAAGAAUAAAUAAGAUGCAAAAUAAUACAUGUUCAUCUAAAUAAGUAGUACAUAUAAAAUAAAAUUUUAAUAUAAAUGUUGAAAUAAACAAAGCGUGUAAUUGAACAUCAUUUCCACUAACUAGAUCCUUCUUCGUCAACUGCUGCGAUUGCCUUUCUUUGACUUUCUUUUUCGCCUCUUCUCAUGUUGGUUUUCAACCAAAUUCACCAACCAUUUCGGUUUUCCAGUUUGGAAAACAACAUAUCCCACCAACAUUCCGAACACUACUCCGCAUCCAUAACCUAUCAACACCACUUUCCAACCAAAAGUAAUGUUUGAUUUUGAGCCAUCUUUUUCAAGCACAUCUGGAGGUGUUGGCGCAAUGAUGUUGCAACCUUUCGAGACCGGAAACCCACAUAUGAAUCAUUUCCAAAUGUGUUGAAUUGUUUGCCUUGAGGAAUCUGACCAUGGAGUUGAUUUUCAGAAACAUUUAAGGACAAAAGAAAUGGCAGAUCUACCAAUCUAUUUGGAAUGGUUCCAGACAACCUGUUUGAAGAUAGUGUUGGCACAUAAUUAAAUUAACCUUGCACAAAUAAAUUAUGAAAAGUUAGAAGAGUGAAGAGACUUGAAUAUGAAAAGUGAAAAAACUUGAAUAUGAAUAGUGAAGAGACUUGAAGAUGAAAAGUUAAGAGGCUUGAAUAUGAAAAGAUACACACAUGCAUGAAUAGUCACAACUCCUAGCAUAUAGUGAUAUAGAUGAAUAGUCACUUACAACUCCUAUAUAAAGAGUUGUAUGUGAUGAAGAAUUAUUAACUUUGUGUGCUUGAAAUAAAAGAUUAUUUGAAAGAAUUUUUUCAUACAAAAUUUAUUUCUCUUCUCCAUUAUAUUCUUUAUCAUUUUCUUUGUUUUAUUUCUCCAAAUAUUAAUCAUUCAACUACAAAUUGGUAUCAAAGCCUUGUUCAAUCGAAAUGAACAAUUCUAUUCCUCUUUCUUCCGUUCCCCAAUUAACCAAAGAAAAUUAUGGCAAAUGGAGUAUCCAAAUGAAGGCUCUUCUUGGAUCUCUAGAAGUUUGGGAGAUUGUUGAAAAAGGUUAUAAUGAAGUUGAGGGUGAAGAGGAGGAAGGAUUAACACAAGUUCAAAAAGAGAGUCUAAGAAAAUCAAGGAAGAAAAAUCAGCAAGCCUUAUUUUGGAUAUAUCAAGGAGUUCAAUCAUAUGAAGCGGCUUGGGAAAAAAUAGCUUGUGCCACCACGGCAAAACAAGCAUGGGAAUUUUUACAAAAUUCAUUCAAAGGAGAUGAAAAGGUGAAAAGAGUUCGGUUGCAAACUCUUUGAGGAGAGUUUGAAAGAUUGCAAAAAAUAGAGUCAGAAUCAGUUUCUGAUUACUGUUCACGGGUUUUGUCCAUAGUCAAUCAAUUAAAAAGAAAUGGUGAAACUAUGGAUGAUAUUCGUGGUGUUGAGAAAAUCCUCCGUUCUUUAGAUUCCAAAUUUGACUACAUUGUGGUUGCCAUAGAAGAAUCAAAGGACUUGAGUACCAUGACUAUUGAUGAACUCACAGGUUCGUUGCAAGCCCAUGAAGAAAGAUUAAACAAGAAGAAAAAGGAAGUAGAUCUAGAUCAAGCACUUCAGUCAAAGUUGUCUCUAAAUGAGAAUAAGGGAGAUUUUAAAAAUCAAAGAGGGAGAGAUCGUGGUCGUGGAAGAGGAAGAAAUUUUAGAGGAAGAGGCUCAAAUGCUCGUGAAAGAGGUGAAGAUGUAAGCAUGGAGAAUGGAUGGAAAGAAGCCAACCAAAGUCAAAAUUUUAGAGGAUCACAAAGAGGACGUGGACGUAGAAAUCAAAGAGGAAGAGGUCGUGGCUAUUUUGAAUGUUAUAAUUGUCGCAAACCUGGUCAUUUGGCAAGUGAAUGCUGGUACAAAGAAGAAGAGAAAAAUGAAGCUAAUAUAGUACAAAAUAAUCAAGAGCAAAAGCAAGAAACUUUGUUGCUCGUAUCUCAUGGUGGAGAGAUUGAUGAUGUCUGGUACAUAGACAGUGGUGCUAGCAAGCAUAUGACAGGUAACAAAAAUUUAUUUUCGAAGUUCUUUGAAUCUGAUUGUGGAGAAGUAAAAGUAGGAGAUGGCAAAGCUUACAAAGUUAGCGGUGUUGGUGAGUUGGAGUUCAAAACAAAGCAAGGAAGGGUAGAGAAAAUGUCUGAAGUUUAUUUUGUUCCUGGUCUUAAAAAUAAUCUGCUUAGCGUUGGGCAUCUCUUGAAGAAGGGGUAUGAUAUUCAUUUCCGAGACAUGGCUUGCUAUUUAUCAAAGAAAAAUCAGGUUGUUGCUAGAGUUGGAGUGGCAUCAAAUAAUCUUUUCUCUCUUACCCUUCAAAAUCAGAAUAUGUCUUGUUUUAUUGGUGCUCAUAAAGGAAUUUCAAAGUUAUGGCAUGAUAGAUAUGGACAUUUAAACUAUGGAAAUUUGGAGAUGCUUUCAAGGAAGAUGAUGGUUAGAGGUUUACCAAAAAUCGAUCGGCUUGAUGAUGUUUGUGAAGCAUGUCAACUUGGAAAGCAACAUAAAAUUGCUUUUCCUUCUCAAUCCUCGUGGAAAGCAAGAAGACCAUUGCAACUUAUUCACUCAAAUCUUUGUGGUCCAAUGACAGUUUCAUCUUUAGGAGGUAAUCGUUACUUUAUCUCUUUCAUUGAUGAUUACUCAAGAAAGUUAUGGGUGUAUUGUGUCAAAGAAAAAUCAGAGGCUUUUCAGAGAUUCAAAGAUUUCAAGGCAGAAGUGGAGAACUUUACUGGGUUGAAAAUUAACACCUUGCGUACAGAUCGUGGAGGUGAAUAUUUUUCAAAAGAAUUUGAGAAAUAUUGCCGAGAUAGUGGCAUCCGGCAUGAAAUGACAGUCCGCCAUACACCUCAGCAAAAUGGUGUGUGUGAAAGAAAGAACAGAACAAUUAUGGAAAUGGCUAGAUGUCUUCUUAAUAAGAAGAGGUUAUCAAGAAGAUUUUGGGCUGAAGUUGUUUCCUGUGCAGUUUAUCUUAUAAACAGAUCACCGACAAGAAGCUUGGAGAAUUACACACCACAUGAGGCGUGGUAUGGUAUAAAGCCUAGUGUUAGUCAUCUUAGAGUAUUUGGGAGUGUUGCCUACUCUCUAUUCCAGAUGCAAUGAGAAGCAAGUUGGAUGACAAGUCAGAGAAAUGCAUUUUUAUUGGCUAUAGUGAAAGAAGUAAGGCAUACAAGUUGUAUAAUCCGGUGACAAAGAAGAUUGUGAUAAGCCGAGAUGUUCGGUUUGAUGAAAAUUCCAUGUUUGAAGAUAUGGAAGUUGAAAAGGAAAAUUUGCCAAUUUUUCCUUUUGAACUUGAAGAAGAAGAAGAGGCAGUAAUUGAGAAUGCUGAAGAUGAUGCUCAAGUAGAAAAUCCUCCUGCUUCCCCAUGUUCUUCAUCAAAUUCUUCUUCAUCCAGCCCGAUCCGAAAAACGAGAAGCAUCCAAGAGUUAUAUGAUGUAACGGAUGAAGUUGUGCAAAAUGAUGCUGUAUUCUUUGCCUUCUUUGCAGGAGAAGAUCCAAUUUCUUUUGAUGAUGCAUAUCAAGAAGAAAUAUGGAGGAAAGCCAUGAAAUAAGAGAUUUUCUCAAUUGAAAACAAUGAUACAUGGGAACUCACAGAUUUACCGCCGCACAAGAAUUCAAUUGGAGUCAAAUGGGUGUACAAGACAAAGAUGAAUCCGAAUGGCUCUAUCAACAAGUACAAGGCAAGACUGGUUGCAAAAGGAUACAAGCAAAAGGAAGGAGAAGAUUUUACAGAGGUAUUUGCUCCAGUUUCAAGACUUGAGACAGUUCGGUUACUUAUUUCUCUUGCUGCCCAAAAUAAUUGGAAAAUAUUCCAAAUGGACGUAAAAUCUGCGUUUUUGAAUGGUGUUCUCAAAGAAGAAGUCUAUGUUGAUCAACCACCAGGGUUUGUCAAAAAAGGAGAAGAAGAAAAAGUUUACAAGUUGAAGAAAGCUUUGUACGGGUUGAAGCAAUCACCCAGAGCAUGGUACAGCCGCAUCGAUUCUUAUUUUCAGAAGUGUGGAUUCCAGAAAUCUCCAUAUGAGCAUACUCUCUACAUCAAAGGCAAUUAUCAAGGAAGAUUCAUGGUUGUAAGUCUCUACGUUGAUGAUCUUAUUUUCACAGGAAAUGAUGUGAAGAUGUUGAAAGAAUUUCAGCACUCAAUGAUGGCAGAAUUUAAGAUGACAGAUUUGGGAGAACUUCAUCAUUUUCUUGGCAUUGAAGUUCAUCAAUCCGAGAAAGGAAUUUUUAUUUCACAAGAGAGCUACGCAAAGGAAGUUCUAAAAAAAUUCAUGAUGGAAAAUGCGAAUCCAGUCUCUACUCCAUGCAUUACAGGUCUGAAGUUAUCUAAAGAGGGUGAAGGAAAGCUUGUCAAUUCCACCAUAUUCAGAAGUUUGGUUGGGAAGUUGAUGUAUCUGACUUCGACAAGGCCUGAUAUCGUGUAUGUUGUUAGCUUGGUAAGUAGAUUCAUGGAGAAACCUUACUCCAAUCACUGGGAGGCUGCCAAGAGAAUAUUGAGAUAUGUGAAGGGAACCAUUGAUUAUGGAAUUUUCUAUAAAUCUAAUACAUUAGUUGAUCUCAUUGGUUAUACGGAUAGUGAUUUAGCAGGAAGCAUUGAUGAUAGCAGAAGCACUUCUGGUUAUGUUUUUCACCUUGGUAGUGGUGCAGUUUCAUGGAGUUCAAAGAAACAAUCAAUUGUGGCGCUUUCGACUAUAGAAGCUGAAUAUAUCGCUGCAUCUUAUGCAGGAUGUCAAUUGAUUUGGUUACGUGGAAUUUUGGAAAGUCUUAAGCAGAAGCAAAGCAAGUCAACAAUUUUGUUUUGUGACAAUAGUUCUACUAUUUCGGUCACAAAAGAUCCAAUUCUUCAUAGAAGGACAAAACACAUUCGCAUUCGAUAUCACUUCUUGAGAGAACUAGUGAAUAAUGGUGAUGUUCAAGUUGAAUAUUGCAAGACGGAAGAUCAGAUGGCUGAUAUCUUCACAAAGCCUCUAAGUGGACAAGUCUUCAAGAAAAAUGUUGAAAGGUUGGGAGUUCAAAGCAAGUUUAAUUUAAGGGAGGCAUUGUUGGCACAUAAUUAAAUUAACCUUGCACAAAUAAAUUAUGAAAAGUUAGAAGAGUGAAGAGACUUGAAUAUGAAAAGUGAAAAAACUUGAAUAUGAAUAGUGAAGAGACUUGAAGAUGAAAAGUUAAGAGGCUUGAAUAUGAAAAGAUACACACAUGCAUGAAUAGUCACAACUCCUAGCAUAUAGUGAUAUAGAUGAAUAGUCACUUACAACUCUUAUAUAAAGAGUUAUAUGUGAUGAAGAAUUAUUAACUUUGUGUGCUUGAAAUAAAAGAUUAUUUGAAAGAAUUUUUUCAUACAAAAUUUAUUUCUCUUCUCCAUUAUAUUCUUUAUCAUUUUCUUUGUUUUAUUUCUCCAAAUAUUAAUCAUUCAACUACAGAUAGGUCCAACCAUUCAAGACUUGUCAAAUCCCCUACUGAGGUAGGGAUACCACUAUUAAGGUUAUUAUGAGAAAGGUUGAGCCCUUUCAGUAAGUUAAGCUUCCCAAUAACCUUUGGAAUCUCCCCUUCAAACUGAUUGCUUGAUAGAUCAAUGAUCACCCACAUAGUGAAAAUUUUCACCAAUUCCACGUCUUGUCCUUUCAUAACAAUUCCAAUGGAAUAGGCAUAGAAGUCAUCUCCAUCAUUCACCCCCAUGUACGACACUGUACUACUAACCUUCUCUAGAUUUAUGAUAGCCUUGAAGCUGUUGAUGUAUCUCACUAGUAGGGGUCCAGAAAAAUAAUUACUUGAGAGGUCAAAAAUUUGGAUUUUAGAGAAAAAAGGGCUAGACUUGGAGUUAUUGACACACAGGGAACCAUGCAUUUGAUUUGACUUUAGUACAAGAACUUGUAGCUGUGGAAGACUUCCCAACCAAUGAGGAAAUGUAUCAUUGAUCUUGUUGUUACCAAGAUCUAGUACUUCCAGACCUCUACAAUUAAGGAUGGAUGGUGUCAAAGGCCCUCCUAACAGAUUUCCAUUUAAAUUGAAAUUACUCAAUUGGCAUCCCAUUGCAAAUGUUGGAGGAAUCGUCCCAUAGAACUUGUUCUUCUUCAGAUUCAAGAAUUGAAGGCUGUUGCUCAAAUUUCCAAAACACUGCGGAAUUGUUCCACUCAAGUAAUUGUGGGACAAAUCAAGAAUUUGAAGAUAAGUGGCAUUGCAUAUUAAUGAAGAGACCUCUCCAUUGAAACAAUUAUUUGAGAUCAAAAAGACAGUGAUGGUCGAAGCUGGAAUCGGAAGAUUUCCACUGAUCAAAUUGGAGCUUAAGUCAAGAACAUCAAUAUUCUUCCAUGGAAAGUGCUCAGCUUCUGUCAAAGAGUUGUGAAAUACAUUUAAGUAAGUCAAAGAGCCAUUCCCCACCUCUUGCAUCCACUAUGGAAUCUUGCCUUUAAUUUUGUUGCAAGAGAGGUCUAAGCUUUCCAAACUUUUAAGCCCUUUUAAAAAUUGGGGGAAUUCACUAAGAUUGCAAGAUGACAAAAAUAACCAUUCAAGAUUUCCACUGAUCAAAUUGGAGCUUAAGUCAAGAACAUCAAUAUUAUGACGAUAUAUAAGUUUCCCUUUAUUUUUUAAAAAAAAACCUCGUCUCGAGAUAUCGAAAGGUCAUAUCCAAUGAGUUAGGACACAACGUUUUGAAUUCCCGAGAUAAGCUUUAAUUUGAAAUUUUUAUAUUUUAAUUAAAAAAUGAUACUCAGUUACUUAAAUUCAACGAGGAAAAUUGGAGCCCAGUAAGUUAGGGCACAUUCUUCUCGAAAAUCUUGGAUACCGGGUAUUACGUUAUUUUGAAAACCUUUGAAUAAAACGAUUUCUAUACUUUGAUUAAAUGCAACCUUUUAAACGAAUAAAAUGCGAUGGAACAAUAACAUACAACCCGAAGUGAUAAUUCGUAAACUAAAAUAUAUGCUAAUGAUUGACAAGGAAUCAAUGAAUACGAGUAAGCAAUACAAUACAUCAUAUAAGAGCAACAAUCUCAUAUCCCACAUUAUGCAAAUACUAACGUCCAUAUUAGCAAGCUAAAUGAAUUAAAAGUUAAUUAAAGAACAGCAAGCAAAUUAAUGUAAAUCUAAUAUAACAAGCUUUAAAAUAAAAUAAAAAUAAAAAUCAUGAAAGAGAGGAAAGUGCUAAGGGAUAAGAUUGAAGGCCCGUAAUAUGAUCGCAAGACAAAGAAGCACGCUCUGUUAUGGAAAAAGAGUUCUUGAACUGGAUUAAUGAAGAGCAGGAGUGAGAUCCUGAAGAAGAAAAAGAAGCAUAAAGAUGGGGAAAAAAGAGGAAUAGGGAGAGAAAGAGAUAGGAGGCCAUGUUAUGUUUGUAGAGGAAGAAGGAUAGGAAUGGUAUUUAUAGGCAACAAAUAAUACCACAACAUUGGUGUUACAGUCUUUUUUUUCUUUUACAUUGAAAUGCUACAGAUAUUAGAUUUUCAAAAUAUUUGUAUUUUUCACAAUCAUCAACACUUAGUCGUCAUUUUACCAUAUAUUUUUCAUUCUUUUUUUUUUUAACAAAAUCUUGUAUAUCAUUUGGACUCGCUAAACAACUAAAAAAAUAAAGAUUGAUGAGAUUACAAAGUAGAUUGACUUAGUCUUCUUCCCUAUAACAUGUAAAGAAUGUAUGUGUCUAUUCAAUUGCCUGUCAACCAAAGCUUAUUAAUGUGGAAAUUCUUUUCCACACAAAAGAACAAAAUUGUGCUCUAUUCAGCUACGUUUGAGGAAGGAGACGGCUGGAAAUUUAAUCCACCGAUUCCAUAAAAACGUGUAUAUUUAUUUAUAAAUAUAUAUAUAACCUCAUGAUUCAAAUCUAAAAUCUCAUUUGUUAUAAAUUCUUAUAAAUUUAUUUGGGAAUAGUUAUUUUUCAUUCGUUAAUUAUUUCUCUUUUAGCCGUGAAACUUAUAUGGUUCGUUAAAUCGCCCCAAAAAAUGAUAAAAAAGAUUAACAAAACUAGCCCCUACGUGGCUGAUGUUGACCCUUAGUAGUUAAUGGCAACUCCUAUGUAAUUGUUAACAGAUACCACAGCAACAAUGUUUGUUGACGUGACAAUGCCACAUGACCAAUAAUCGUUGUCAUGGUAGUGCCACGCCGUCACCCAUUGAUGACAUAUUAACCUUCGAGUUAAACUCAAAUUGCUCUUUCCUUUGUUAUAAAUUAAGAGUAUAACUAAUUUUGAUAAGAAUAGUUACUUUUCAUUAACUCAGUUUAAAGGACUAUAACACGUAAAGUUUGGUCUAUUGCAGAAUUCACAUGCAAUGCGGGAUAUUUACAUUUUGAAGAAUUCAACACAUAUAUGGGAAUUUUUGUAUUUCCACAAUCAUAAUUUUGUUAGUGAUCAACAACUACUUCCUCCUUACCAUAUAUUUUUCAUUCAUAAAAUUGAUUACUUUUUUUAUCAAAGAAGUAAAAUAAUUAACAUUCUUAAGAUUACAAAGUCUUCUUCCUUAUAACACGUAAAGUUUAGUUCCAAAUAAUUUUCCACAAAAAAAAGACCAUCAAUUGUCGAUUGACUAUACUUUAACUCCAAAAAAAAGACUAAGACUAUCAAUUGUCUAUUGACUACACUUUAACUCGACAAAAAAGGACUAAGACUAAGACUUUCAAUUGUCUAUUGACUUCACACUUGCGGUUGCUUCCUCCUAUCUCUCUCACCCAAACUUAAUUUAGAAGCAAUGGGGAAAUUUUGGACAUUUGGGCCACAAUGAACAAUACUUCCACACCAUUUGCAGUAUUGACUACGUUUACUUGAGGGAAAACAAAGACAUGAAUGCUGGAAAUUUUAACUAGUUUGUACCGUCAAUGAAGCUACGUACCUAAAAGCCUUUUAGGAUAUCAAUUCCUGUAAUUGGAUUAAUCUCAUCGUUGCUGCAAUCUUUUGACAGUGUAAUCGAAUCUUAAAUAUGUUACUCUGCAAUGCUGUUGUAAAAAUUACUCUUAAAAUUGUCGAUAGAUAUAUAGGUUUGGCACAAAAUUAAGAAUACACAAAGGCAGGUUGAAUUAUUCCAUGUUUGAACAUAAAUUCAUAUGGCAAAAGGGCCCAAACCAUACCUUAUGUUCAUGAAUUCUCAUCAUCACAUGUUUAUAAAUGCAUCUCAAAACUUGAAUAAUUGAAUCUUUUGUAAUUCUACAUGUAUUUUUUUUUAUGGUGAGCAGUAUAAUGUUUACUAAAAAUUGAAAUUCAAGAAAGAAGACAUACAUAGUUGCACCAUACAAGUUGUUACACUCGAACUAAACCCUUACAAAUAGUACGAGAUGCAAUGAAAUACAGAGGAAUUGGUACAAUCAUAAAGACAGACACAUACCAAUGCAACUUUUCACCAUAGGAAAAACUUUCUGACAGACUACUAAACAAGAAAUUAUGAAGACACAGCAGAAAUGCUUUGACUUCUUUUGCACCAACUAGAUCCUUCUUCAUCCAUUGAUGCGAUUGCUAUAUUUUGGCUUUCUUCUUCGCCUCUUCUCAUGUUGGUUUUCAACCAAAUUCACAAACCUUUUCACCUUACCGGUUUGGAAAACAACAUAUCCCAUGGCCAUUCCAAACACUACCCCGCAUCCACAACCUAUCAACACCACUAUCCAACCAAAAGCAAUGUUUGCUUUUGAGCCAUCCUUUUCCAGCACAUUUGGAGGUGGUGUCUCAUUGAUGCUGCAACCUUUGGAGACUGGGAAUCCACAUAGUCUCUGUUUCCUUCAUAUGAAUUGUUUCGAAAUGUAUUGACAAUCUGACCAUGGAGUUGAUUUUCAGAAACGUUUAAGAAGAAAAGAAAUGCCGGAUCUGCCAAUAUCUCUGGAAUUAACUCAGUUCAAAUGACCAUAUAACUCGUAAAGUUUGGUCGAAGACUGGCAGCGUCUAUUGACUUCAACUCUUGCUAUUACCUCAAGAAGAAAGACUGCUACAAUUCUAUCUUCUUUAAACCAGCUAUUUAAAAGCAAUAAGGACAUUAAAUCCACCAAUUUAUCUUUGAAGUCAUUCGUCAUGCAGCUCUGCUAUGUACGAUUAUUGGCAAAAAUCUUGAAAGGAGACAACCUCAAAUUUGAAGACAAGAAAUGAGCAAGAACAUGCACCAACGAAGAAUCGAUUAUUGUUUUGUAUUUGGUAAAUACAAUUUGAGUUAAAUAAUCAAGAAUGAUAGUGAAUAAAUAAGGAAAAACAAUGUAGAUUCAGAACCACAAUAAAUCAUAUUAAGCUCAUGAGUUUAUAAUAUAUAUCUCUGCAGCUUGAUUGCCUUGUUAGCUAUAAACAUAACCUGUUAAUUCCAUCAUUAAUACCAUUAGAUAUAUUUUGAUGGGGGAGAUUUUUUAGUAGGAAAACAGUUGAAGUCAUUCAAGAAGACAUAAACAGCUGCAACUACGUAAGAGUUUAACUUUGAGAAUAGAUCCUUACACGUUAUUGAAAUGCCAUACUAAAGAUAAAGACAUAUAGCUAAACGUUAGACACACCAUAAAAAUAUAUAUAGGUAAAGUGAUAGGGUGUGAGUAAGGAGGCCAUGCUAUGUUUUCAAAUAAGAUUAUCAUGGUAUGAAUUAUGAGAACCCUAUUUAUAGGAAGAACAAAACCGAUAUGAAACUAAGAAUAUAGUCCAUUGAUAAUGAAGAAUCUAAGAAAUUUAAUGGAAAUUGUGGAUAAGCAUCGUGUUUUUAUCUCUGAUGGAGAAAAGCUAAGAGUGUGAGGAAGACCAACUGUCAAUGUCACCCAAACCGAAUCUACAAGUCACCACAAUGUACAGUAAUUCAAAGCAGGAAAAGUUCAUAGUUUCAGAGUAAAUAACACUUCAAUGAUUGUAUUAUAGAAAACAUGUGUAUCCUAUAUAUGUUGAACAAUAUUAUCUAACAAACAUAUUUUCCAAAAGACUAGAAAAUUUGUGAUUAAAUGCUAAAGUUACAUAUUUUAUGUAAUUAAAUUGGUUAAUUUAUGAGAGUGCACCACUAAUUUUUCCAUGUUUUUGUUGAAUUUUGUGCAGGGGUGCAAUUUGGGGCUAAAUAGAAGAAAAAGGAAACAAUUGGGCUAGAUUGAAGAGAGAAGCAAAGAAGGAGGGCCAAAACAGAAUUUUUCCAGAUUAAUUAGCUGAAAUUUUUGUUGACUUAGUGGGAGAUUAUUUUGGGAUUUUUUUUUAUAUCAUGGAAUAUUUUUCCUUAAUUUUCUAUACUAGUUGGCUUUUAAUUUAGCAAGGCCACUAGUAUAAAUAGAGGCUACAUUGUUCAUUUUAAUCAUCAAGUCUUGAAUCAAUUCAUAAAUCAAGCUUUCAUCUUUCAAUACAUUCUCUCUUUUCUACUCACAAAUUUAUUUGUUGUUUUUAGUUUCAUUUACUUUCAAUCCAUUAAUUUCCAGCUUGUUACCACUUAAACCAUUUUCAAUUUCUUUUUCAAACUUUCUUUCCAUCUCCAGUAGCUAAUUCACUUUAUUACACCCCCAAAAUUCCAGCCCCCCAAACUAAAUCACGCCACCCAUUCCUUUCACCCAUUUUACCUUAUUUAAUUUAUCCAAUACCAACAUGCCCCAAACCUUAGCCAACUAAAUUCAUUUCCAGCUUUAGGUCGGAAUUAGCCUCGUCAAAACCCGUGAGUUACGAACCCGAGCAAAUUAACUCCUAAAUUUUAGUACUUAUUAUUUCUCCGGAUUAAGAGUAUGAUUUUGUCAACUCACAAAGUCAGAUCAACAUUAAGUUAAAAAAGACGUCGUUUGAUUUAGUGUGGUUAGACGUACAGUUGGAAUUCCAAAAAGAUCGAUUCUAAUCGGUUUUCUGUGAACACAUUGGCGUGCCAAUUGGAGAUUGCUGUUUGGUUCCGUCAAGGGAAGUAGUAACCCGAUUUAAAUGUCCCACGCGGUUGAGGGCAUUGGUUCGAGCUAGGGUUUUCUAGAACGCAAAGCUGCCGGAGUUCUAAAUCACGAACAUUUCGUGGUUGUUCGAUCAGUAAGGGUUAGUUAUUGGACGUUCCAUAACUAAUUUACACAAGGAAGAGUUAGUGUCUGAGGCGUCCUUGGUAGCUAUAACUAGCUUAUUGGAAAAGAGGAGUUCAUCUAAUUUUGAGAAUCGGUUCAAAGACGAGGAAAAUUCGUGCCUAAAGCUGAGCUUAUUCUAAUUAAAUUUUCUUCAUAUUUAUUUAACUAUUUUAAUUAUUCUGUUUUCAACUUUAUCUUUUCACGCAUUUUAUUUAUUUAUUUCAGGUCUUCAAAUUUUAUCCCCCCGAACUUCUUGGGCACGACAACUGCCCCAACAUAAAUCUGGUCAAAAUAGAAACAAUUUGCAGUAAACCCAGUCUCUGAGGGAUCGACCCUACUCCCUAUACUGUUUAAAUCGCAAAUUAGGCGUAGGUUUAUAUUGGUGGAUUCGACACCCAUCAAUUUGUAUGUCAUUUUCUAUUACUUGCAAGAAAACUACAGGGGAAAUUGCAUUUCUAAUUCAUCCAUAGGCUUUAAAUUCAAACAAGAAAAAGGAAAAAGAAUAUAUAUAUAUCAACAGGAAACUUCAAGGAGAGAAAUUUUGUUACAUCAAUUUUCCAGUCAUAUUUAAUCUUUACCCAAAGUUGAUUCUAGAUUAAAUUUGGAAAAAAUUAAAAAAGAGGACAUGUAUUUUUUUUUAUUUUUGAAAAGUAAAGGAUUAUAUCUCAGCCAAAUAAAAAAGUCACAAUGCAAAGCCAAGAGCCAAAGCCAAGCCAAGCACACACUCAACUAGCAGACAUAACUCAUACAGGACCUAGAUGUAUUAUUGAACUCUUAUAUAAAAGACAACUGAAGAUGCAAAGCUUAAUUGUUAAGCUUUUCUGAUGCUUGAUAAGCAUAGUUUUAGUUCAGUUCCGAAAUCUAAACUGCUUUGCUAUGGGAUUAUUUUUAUAAGUACAUUGAGAUCAAUGCAUGCUAUUGCGAUUUAUUAUCUUUGAUGCCAAGGAAAUGACAGAAUUCAAAGACCAAAAGGUUCGAUUACAUACUAGAUCAUGGAUGUAAGCCAAUCUACAACCUCUCUCCUCGACCUCCAUGUGAAACCAGCAUGAUUUGAAUUCUCAGCCGCAUAUACCCUCACAAACUCCUCAGCAACAACAUAAAACAUAUACCUAACACUCCUUUGAGAACCGAUAACUGCACAGACAGAUUCACUAAUGGAAGCCUUCAAGAAAUAUUGAACCACACAAUUACCACACUUCUGUGAAAUAAACUUGUUGGUGCAAAGAGACAACAAUAGACUGUUUUCAAUCUUGCUUGUAUAGCAAGCCUCGAGCCUUGCUGAAGAAACAAACUCAAAAGCAAGAACAGAAACACAUGCGAAUGAAAAACAAAAGAAAUUGAGAGAGAGAGUAUUUUGAAUGAAAAGAGCUGAUAUUUCAUUAACAAAUCCAGAAGGCAUAAUGCCAUUACAUAUAAUAGAUAACAACAACAAAAUGAACAAGUCUUUACCUAAUGACAUACCUAACACCACUAAAUUUACAUUGGAAAUUGUUAAUCAGCUUGCUUAAGUUUCUUUGCUGAUUUUUUCAGUCAAUCAAUCAACAAAAAACAUCAUAAGGUUUACCAACUUAGUUCAACAUGAACUAGAUUACAAAAUAAUAAUUAAAAAUACAAUCAAAACAUAACAAGUAGUUAGGCAACUUUAAGCUCCAGUUUCUGCACUUCAUAGCUCGACUGCUUGCUGCCACUUCUCCUUGCAUGGCCACCUUUGCAUGUCUUGCAUGGGAACUAAAUUCAACACUCCUCCUUAGUUUCCAUGCUAGUGACACCUAAUUGCCUUCUUAAUUUAACAAAUUUAGACACAUUGAGUGCCUUUGUAAAGAUAUCAGCAAUUUGCUCUUCUGAAUUGCAAUGAACCAGCUCGAUUUCAUGAGCUUGCUCCAUCUCCCUUAUGACAUGUAGCUUGAUGUUGAAGUACUUUGCUCUACCAUGAAAGAUAGGAUUCUUUGCAAUUGCAACAGCAGAUUUGUUGUCACAGUAAAUCUCUGUUGCCUUUCCUUGAUUUUGAUUUAAAUCAGCUAGGAUUUUUCUAAGCCAUAUGGCUUGAUUUACAGCAGAUGCAGCAGCAACAUAUUCAGCUUCUGCUGUUGACUGUGCUACCAGACUUUGCUUUUUAGAACUCCAGCAAAACAUGCCUGAGCCAAGACUAAAGGCAUAUCCAGAUGUGCUUCUCAUGUCAUCACAAGAUCCAGCCCAGUCACUAUCAACAUAGCCUAUUAGCUUCAUGUUUAUAGCCCUUUUGAACAAUACACCAUGAUCAAUGGUGCCUUUGAUGUAUCUAAGCACUCUUUUAGCUGCUUGAAAGUGCUGAUCAUUGCAGCAAUUCAUGUAUCUGGAUAGCACACUAACAGCAAACAUGAUAUCGGGUCUUGUUGCAGUCAAAUACAACAGACUACCAAUGAGACUUUUGUACAUAGUCUCGCAAAUUGGUUCACCACUCCCUUGCCUCGAAAGCUUCACUCCAACAGCCAUUGGUGUGCUUGUUGGCUUGCAGUUCUUCAUAGAGAACUUAUCCAGGAUCUUCAUAGUAAAAGAACUCUGACUAAGAAAGAUUCCCUUUGCUGUUUGCUUCACUUCCAUUCCAAGGAAGUAGUUCAUUCUGCCUAAAUCAGACAUUUCAAACAUUUCCAUCAUUUUUCUUUUGAAAUCUUCCAGCAUUCUUCUAUCUCCUCCAGUCACCAAUAAAUCAUCAACAUAGAGUGACAGGAUAAGCUGAGUUUCAGCUUGGUUCUUCUUCACAUACAGUGUUGGUUCACUGAGACUUCUCUCGAAUUCCAAACUGAGCAAGUAAGAAUCAAUUCGAGCAUACCAGGCUCAAGGAGCCUGUUUUAGGCCAUACAAAGCCUUUUUCAGUCUGUACACCUUGUGUUCUUUGCCAGUGACCACAAAUCCUUGAGGCUGUUCGAUGUAGAUCUCUUCUUCCAGGAAACCAUUGAGAAAUGCAGACUUAACAUCAAGCUGAUGAAUGGUCCACUGAUGUUGAGCAGCCAAGGCAACUAUCAUUCUAACUGUGUCAAGCCUGGCUACUGGUGCAAAUGUCUCCAGAUAGUCCAGACCAUACCUUUGGCUAAAACCUUUGACAACAAGCCUGGCUUUUAGCUUGUUCAGACUGUCAUCUGCAUUCUGUUUUGCUCGAUAGACCCAUUUUACUCCAAUGGUCUUCUUUCCAGUAGGUUUAUCAACUAGCUCCCAUGUCUGGUUCUUCUCAAUCAUGUUGAUUUCAUCGACCAUAGCUAGUUUCCAGCCUUCAUCUGCCUCAGCCUCUUCAAAACUGCUAGGUUCUGCUAUUGCAACCUGUGCCCUUUCAUAAAUAUCAUCUAGGGGCCUUGUGCCUCUCACAAGCACAUCAUCAACAUCCAUUUCAGGUCCUAGCUGCUCAAGUUCAGCUUGAUUAGGCACCAGGUCUUCUGAAGCAGCUUCUGGUUCAUUCUUUUCCCAAUUCCAACAAGCCUUCUCAUCGAAGAUGACAUCUCUGCUCACUUGAACUAUGUUUGUCAAAGGAUCCAGCACCCUGUAGCCCUUCUUAACUGAGCUAUAGCCUACUAGAACACCUGGUUGAGCCCUUUCAGAGAGCUUGUCUCUCUUAACUGCUGGUAUUUGUGCAUAACACAGGCAACCAAACACCUUCAGAUGUACCAAGGAAGGCUUGAAACCGGACCAAGCCUCGAAAGGUGUUUUGGAUGCAAGAGCUUUGGUAGGAAGCCUAUUUUGAAGGUAGACAGCAGUGUUUACUGCCUCAGCCCACAUGGUCUUGGGCAGUUUCUUCUCAAACAGCAGGCACCUGGCCAUAUCCAUCAAGCUUCUGUUCUUUCUUUCUGAUACCCCAUUCUGCUGAGGUGUGUAGACAUUUGUAAGCUGGUGUUUGAUACCAGCAUCAUUGCAAAUGGCUUGAAACUGAGCUGAAGUGUACUCAGUGCCAUUGUCUGACCUUAUCGAUUUCAGCUUGCAACCUGUUUCUGUCUCUACAGCAAUUUUAAACUUCACAAACACUUGAGCUACCUCAAACUUGUGUUUUAAGAAGAAAAUCCAGCAAAACCUUGUAAAAUCAUCAAUGAAGAGGAUGAAAUACCUAUUUUUCUUGAGUGAUUCAGUCCUCAUCGGGCCACAUACAUCAGAGUGCACCAGCUGUAGUUUUUUAGUAGCUCUCUAAGCUGAAUUUGUAGGAAAUGGCAGUCUUGCCUGUUUCCCCAUCUGGCAAACUUCACACACAUCAUCAUGCUCCACUGAGCUAGUAAAGUUCUCUGCCAAGCCUUCUUUGGCCAUUCGAGCCAAUGAUCUGAAGUUGGCAUGCCCAAGCCUUUGAUGCCAAAGCUUGGAAUCAUCAACAGAGGCUGUAUAUGCAGACUUUGAGUCAUUUGGCCAGUGUACCUCAAAGCAUUUGUUAGUCAUUGUGACUGUCAUAAGGCUUGAUCCACUUGGAUCAGCAAUGUGGCACUGUUUGUUCUUGAACACAACAGAAUAGCCUUUCUUGAGCAAUUGAGCUAUGCUGAGAAGGUUUCUGUCGAUUUCUGGCACUAACAGCACAUUUGGAAUGAUCUUGUUGCCUGUGGGGGUACAUAUCAGCACCUCUCCUCUUCCUUCAGCCCUUAUGAACUGACCAUUUCCAACCUUGACCUUGGUUUUACAACUUCUAUCCAAGGUUUUAAAUAAGGAGGCAUCUGGUGACAUGUGGUUAGUGCAACCACUGUCCAAUAACCAGCCUUUUGAGCAUUUCUUCUCAGCAGCUAAGAAAGAAACAGCAAAGACCUGCUCUUCUUGAUCACUACUGUCCUCAGCUACUCGAGCUUCAACCUUUGGUUGUUGAAAUUGACUCUGCCUUGACUUGGUUUUAUUUUUGCAAACCCUUUCAACAUGGCCUUUCUUCUUGCAGUGUUGGCAUACUGCAUCUGGCCUGAACCAGCAUCUGUCUUCUGGAUGACCUGGCCUCUUGCAAUGUCUGCAGGGCUGGUCAUUGCUCCUUGCAGUAUCAGGCUUAGGCCUGCUUUUCCAAGGCUUUUUACCUCUUGGAGCAUUGAUGCUCGAGGCUUCUCUGGCCUUGGCAUUGAAUGCACCUUCCUGGUGGUCUUCAGCUCUGCUAGCUCUCCUUUGUUCCUGAGCAUAGAAAGUGUUGAUUAGCUCAGUCAAAGAGAUGGUAGCAAGGUCUCUUGAGUCCUCAAGAGAGGAUAUCUUGGCCUCAUAUCUCUCAGGCAAAGUGGAGAGAACUUUCUCUACUAUCCUUGCCUCAUCAAAGUGCUCACCAAGGAGCCUUAUACUGUUAACCACUGCCAUGAUUCUAUCUGCAUACUGCUUCACUGUUUCUUCUUCCUUCAUCUUCAGGUUCUCAAAAUCCCUUCUCAAAUUCAAUAGCUGUUGUUGCCUUGUUCUCUCAGUGCCUUGAAACUCCUCCUUAAGCUUAUCCCAUGCCUGUUUUGGAGUCUCACAGGCCAUAAUUCUGGUGAAGAUGACAUUUGACACACAAUUCUGAAUGCAGGACAUGGCUUUGUGCCUUUUGGUCCUCUCAUCAGCAUGUUGCCUAAUCUGAGCUACUGUGGGAUUGGCCCUCAGUGGUGCUGGCUCAGCAUCUGUGUUGACAACUUCCCACAGAUCAAAGGCCUGUAGGUAAGUCUUCAUCUUGACCAGCCAUAUGUGAAAGCCUUCUCCAUUGAAGACUAGUGGGGCUGCUGGUGAAAAACUUGAGGAAGACAUUCAGCUUUCUUAGUUUGAUAAAACAGGUCCACUAAGAAUGAAGCUCUAGAUACCAAUUGUUGGUGCAAAUAGACAACAACAGACUGUUUUCAAUCUUGCUUGUAUAGCAAGCCUCGAGCCUUGCUGAAGAAACAAACUCAGAAGCAAGAACAGAAACACAUGCGAAUGAAAAACAAAAGAAAUUGAGAGAGAGAGUAUUUUGAAUGAAAAGAGCUGAUAUUUCAUUAACAAAUCCAGAAGGCAUAAUGCCAUUACAUAUAAUAGAUAACAACAACAAAAUGAACAAGUCUUUACCUAAUGACAUACCUAACACCACUAAAUUUACAUUGGAAAUUGUUAAUCAGCUUGCUUAAGUUUCUUUGCUGAUUUUUUCAGUCAAUCAAUCAACAAAAAACAUCAUAAGGUUUACCAACUUAGUUCAACAUGAACUAGAUUACAAAAUAAUAAUUAAAAAUACAAUCAAAACAUAACAAGUAGUUAGGCAACUUUAAGCUCCAGUUUCUGCACUUCAUAGCUCGACUGCUUGCUGCCACUUCUCCUUGCAUGGCCACCUUUGCAUGUCUUGCAUGGGAACUAAAUUCAACAAAACUCCUUCUGCCACUCGAAACAAUGACCAUUCCAAACAUUUUGAUAGACAAUACACAAUUUGCUUCACUACUUACUCACAUAGCCAAAAAAUAUCCAAUGAAACUGGCAAAGGGUUCUUCCAAAAUGGUACAUUAGCUGCCAAAAAGACAACCACCAUAUAUUCCUUCAUUCAGUAAACAGCUUCAAUAUGGAAAUAAGUUAUUAUCUUAAAAAUGCUUUUUCUACCACAGAAGAAUAAGAACUAGGCAUCUCAGAAAAUUUGCUAAAUUAAUGACUUUGCUCCCUUCAAAAUAAACAAAUGAUUAACUGCAUUAUCCCAAAGAGGUCACCAUCAACCUCCAGUUGAACUUUCAAGGAAUAAUAAUAAAAAAUAGAAGGAAAUAAGGGGGAAAAAACCCAACCAGAACUCAGUAAUAGCUGAGCCUUGAAGAUCUGUAGGUAGUAAGAGAAAAACCCCAUGACGACUAAAGUCCAGGCUUGAAAGAACCAAAAGGGAGCAACAUAUGACUAUGAUUCACUGGACCAAGAGAAUCACCAAUGAAUAAAGGAAAAAGGGUACUUUCCUUUAUACCUAAACAUACAAUAUUUAGCCUCAAAAUGGGAAAAUUUCAGGUUUUCACAAAGGGUUUAAGAAAGAGGGUGAAAGUUAAAGAACUUGUCUUUGUUUUGAUGUGUGGUACACGAGAUAGUGAAGGAAAAUAGAGGUGAGGAAAUAAGAUGGAGUAAGUGCCUAAGUGGUGAAAAAGGAGAGCCUAAAAGAGACAUUUUUGAAGGGUAGUUUAGAAGCUGCAGAGGCUUUGGCAUACAGCAGCUGAUAAUGAGAGAAGACAAACCAGAAAUGUAAGUACGACGACGAUAAAAAUUAAAAAAUUUUAAGAAUUAAUGAAAUAAAAUUUUGUAGCUUAGCGAAUUGGGACGAAGUCCACCAGUGUGAUGCCCAUAGAUCCAUACCUGGGAUUUUUCUAUUUGGGCUAACUUUCUAACUUCUCCCACCAGUCUUAAAACUUUGCAGAUUUUUUCAAUUUGAUCUGGAUUGUAUGAUAACAUAUCACUUUGAGAUUGGAAAAAAAAUUAUUUUUUUUAAAUUAGAGAAAAAAUAAAGAAACUAAAUUUCAAGCAUGCAAAGUACAAAAGAAAGAACUGUAUUAAUAAAAGAUGAGUUACUUCACUCAGAUUGGAGUACCCUUUAAACAAGUUUAUUCUUGUAGAGAAAGAAACUGGAUUUUGAUUUCAUUUGCUGUGGCAAAAUUUUUAAUUUCAACAACAGUAUAACAUAUUGAAAGCCUGCCUACAUCUCGGCAGAAAAAUUUACAAAUUCUUUCAUCAGACAAUUUAAAUGAUGCAAUGCAAAGAUUCAUCAAUGUAUGAUCUUUUUAUCAUAAAUGGCUGUUUUACUGGAAAACUUGAUAUGUACUGUCUUUCACAUUCUUUUGUGCUGAAUGGUCUCUGAAAACUGCAAUCAUCAACUAUAGAUAACCCAUUCCUCAGCGCCGCCAGAGCCGACCUUGUUGUUUCUGUUCUUGAACUUGCCUGUGUCAUCAAAGGCAGUGAGCAUUUAUCAAUGUUAUAAAAAUGGCAUAUCGAAGUCAGAUUUUACUUGACAAUACACAAAUGUAAGAAGAUAAUUCACCUUUGAUACUCUUUAGAACGCUCGAGAAACUCUUUCGCGAUGUCUUUUCUUUAAUAUGAUUGCAAUACUUGUCUGAUAUCAGCCGGACCAUUGUGUUAGUACAAAACUCCGGUAAGGAAAAAAACUCGAACACACGAUCGGAACUCGAAAAGAAAAAGAAGAAAUAGGACAGGCUCCAAGGCGUGUAUCAAGCCACUAUCUUUAAGGUUAUAUUCGCCCCCACUUAUCUUCAGUGUGCAAACGAGUUCCAAGCAAAUUAACCUCGAGGAUACAAUGAAGCCAAUGACUAUUUGCGUUUUGCACUGACGAGAAUAGUCCACUAUACACUAAGUAAUGUAUAACAAAAACUCAAUUUCUACAAAGGAUUUCUGCAGCAAUACUUUAUAGAAUAAUCUAAUAAUAUUAGAAAAUGAAGGAAGAGAAGAAAUAAUAUUAGAAUUUGUUGAUAUGAUUUCCAAAUGAAAUCCCAUUCCUAUUUAUAGGAAUUUUCAUGUCUCUUCAUAGAGACAUCUUUCAAUAGGUGUCUUUAUGAAUAAAUAAAUAAUAAUAAUUAUUCAUUUAAUUUUGUAACUAUUCAAAUAAUAUUUUUUGAAUAGUUAUAAUUCUUUUUUAAAAAAUCAAAUGAUAUAACUUUUGACCAAUGACCAAAAGUUUUAUCUUUUGAUUAAUUACACCCAUUCAUUUAUAGUUAUUGGGAUACUAUAAAUAUUUGAAAAUAUUCCAACAAUCUCCCCCCAUUUUCAAAAUAUUUAGAUUUUGAUAUUCUUGGAAAUCAAUUUGCAUAAAUAAAGGUGUCUUACGAUUGAACCUUCACUUAGUGAAAACAUGUUAAAGUUAAUCGAAAUUGUAUGGUAGACUAAGCUUUGAACCAACUAUUCCAUUUGAUUAAUUGAACACAUCUCACACAAUGAUUUCAACAUCAGUCAAUGCAUAGUAUCUAGGGACACUAUUAUAGCCAUGUGUCUAUGUCCUCUUUUCAUGAGUGCUGUCAGAGCCAAGCCCUUAAGCUCCUAGAAGCGGCCACACUUCCACUCACAUAGGUAGAUCCCAUCAAAAGUGUUCCCGUAAUUAUAACACUCUAACAUAUUUAUGUUAUGGGUCCAUUAAGAGUAAAUUACUCAUCCUUCCCUUAUCAUUACGGGUACCUAGCACUUUAAUCUUAGGAUGGAUUUAUUUAUAGUGCUAACAGUCACAUACUAAUGAUGUACUUUGUCUCAUUGAACUCAAGACUUGACGUUAUACCAAGCAUUGAGUCGAGUUUCCAUCAUGGGUGACUCUAAUUAAUAGGCUUGAGUCCCAUCCCUUUUGAGGUCCUUUUUACUGCAUCUCUAGCAAGACUUUUUGUCAAAGGAUCUGCCAAAUUUUCACUUGACCUCACAUAAUUAAUAGUGAUCACUCCAUCAGAGAUUAAUUGUCGGACAUAACUAUGUCUUAAUCCAAUGUGUCUAGACUUUCCAUUAUAUACUUGGCUAUAUGCCUUUGCUAGAGUAGCCUCACUAUCACAACGGAUAGAAAUAGGUGAAAUUGGCUUAAGCCAUAAACGUACAUCAUAAAGCAAAUUUCUUAACCAUUCUGCUUCUUUAGAUGCAGCGGCUAAUGCAAUAAAUUCUGCUGCCAUGGUGGAAUCAGUAAUACAUGUUUGUUUCUUGGAACCCUAAGAAAUGACUCCUCCACCAAGAAUGAAGAUCCACCCACUAGUAGAUGCAUGAUCUUCCAAACUUGUAAUCCAACUAGCAUCCGAAUACCCUUCUAAAACUGGAGGAUAUCCAUUAUAACACAAUCCAUAGUUAAUAGUUUUCUUUAAGUACCUAAGUACUCUAUUUAAAGCUUGCCAAUGCAAACUACUUGGAUUAUUUGUGUAUCUACUCAAUUUUCCAAUAGCAUAUGCAAUAUCUGGUCUUGUACAAGUCAUUAUGUACAUAAGAAAACCAAUUGACUUGCAUAUUUCAAUUGAUCAAUUUUCCUACCAGCAUUAGAUACUAAUUUUAAUUGAGGAUCCAUGGGUGUAGAUACUGGUAUACAGUUGAAAAUAUCAAACUUUUUAAGCACAUUUUCAAUGUAAUGUGAUUGUGAUAAAGCUAUAGUGCUUUCAUCUCGGGUUAUUUUAAUCCCAAGAAUAACAUCUUCUACACCCAUAUCCUUCAUAGCAAAGUUGUUUGACAAGAAUUUCUUUGUGUUUUCUAUUUGUUCCAAAUCCGUGCCAAAAAUGAGCAUGUCAUCUACAUAUAAGCAAAUUAUAACACCCUUUCCAUUAUCAAAUUUACUAUAUAUGCACUUAUCGGAUUCAUUUAUUUAUAGCCAUUAGCUAAAACAACCUUGUCAAACUUUUGGUGCCAUUGUUUUGGUGCUUGUUUAAGCCCAUAUAAAGAUUUAACAAGCUUACAUACCUUAUGCUCUUGUCCUGGAACAACAAAUCCUUCCGGUUGCUCCAUGUACACUUCCUCUUCCAAUUCACCAUUUAAAAAUGCAGUUUUAACAUCCAUUUGGUGAACAACCAAAUUAUAUAUAGAGGUAAGUGAUAUUAAUAGUCUAAUUGUAGCAAUUCUUGCUACUGGAGCAUAGGUAUCAAAGUAAUCAAUACCUUGUCUUUGUGUAAAACCUUUUGCUACCAACCUUGCUUUAAAUUUAUCAAUGGUUCCAUCGACCUUCAUUUUCUUUUUGAAGAUCCAUUUACAACCUAUUGGUUUGGAACCUGGUGGAAGAUCAACUAAGAUCCAAGUUUGAUUUCCCAUUAUUGAAUCCAUUUCAUCAUUUAUUGCUUCUUUCCAAAAAGUAGAGUCUUGAGAUUUCACUGCUUCUUCAAAUGUAACAGGAUCAGAUUCGGUAUUAUAACAAUAAGGUAUCUUAUUGCAUAUACUUUCACCUUUUCCUUCUAUAAGAAACAUAAUGAAAUCUGGUCAAAAAUCUUUGACCUUUUUAAUCCUCUUACUUCUUCUUAAUUCUUGACAAGAUUCAUCAUUAUUAUCAAUUUGUUUCAAUGGAAUCUCAUUCUCAUUUGAAGAAUGAAUCAAUUGUUGUGGUUGUAAUUGUCUUGAUAUAGAAUUAAAUCUAUUUUCAUCAAAAAUAGCAUCUCUUGAUUCAAUAACCGUAUUAAUUGAAAUUGAAUCAUUUGGUUCAAUUACUAUGAACCUAUAUGCCUUGCUAUUAUGUGCAUAACCUAUAAAUAUGCAUUCAAUUCCUCUUUCACCUAACUUUUUACGUUUAGGUGUUGGAACUUUUACAAUAGCUCUACAACCCCAAACCUUUAAAUAAUUAAGGUUUGGUUUCCUUUUCUUCCAUUGUUCAUAGAGGGUUAUUUUAGUUUCCUUAUUAGGAACUCUAUUCAAUAUAUGACAAGCUGUUAGAACAGCUUCUCCCCAAAAACCCUGUCCAAGACCUGAAUAUGAUAACAUUGAAUUUACCAUUUCAAUCAAGACUCUAUUUUUCCUUUCAGCUACACCAUUUUGUUGUGGUGUGUAAGGGGCUGAAACUUGAUGGACAAUUCCAGUGAGUUCAAAAUAACUUGGAUUAUAGUAUUCUCCACCUCUAUCCGAUCUUAAGCACUUGAUAAAUGAUUCACACUGAAGUUCAACUUCAGAUUUAUAAACUUUAAAUUUAUCAAGCGCUUCAUCUUUUGAAUGCAAUAAAUAUACAUAACAAUAUCUAGAACAAUCAUCAAUAAAAGUAACAAAAUAUUUCUUUCCACCUAAUGUAGGAGUAUUAUGCAAGUCACAUAAAUCACUAUGUAUCAAAUCAAGCAAUUUUGUUUUCCUUUUAACCUUAGGGAAAGGAUUUCUUGUAAUUUUAGUCAACAUACAGGUAUUGCAUUUUUCAAUAUUAUUAUUAAAAACAGGAAUUAAAUCUAAUUUAUACAUGUCAUUCAAUUUUCUAUAAUUCAAAUGACCUAAUCUAUAAUGCCACAAACAAAAUGAUUCAACCAUAUAAGCAGAAAUAGUAUUUUUAUUCUUAUUAAUAAUAUUAAGUUUGAACAUGCUUUCAUACAUAUACCCUUUUUCCCACAAAAAUUCCUCCCUUAGACAAAAUAAACUUAUCUGCCUCAAAAACAAGUUUGAAACCAAACUUAUUCAACAGACUUCCAGACACUAAAUUUUUCCUAACUUCUGGUACAUAAUAUACAUCAUUUAAGGUUAAAACCUUUCCAGAAGUGAAUUGUAGUUCAACAGACCCUUUGCCUUUAAUUUGCGGUGGAAGAAUUUCCCAUGUACAAGACAUUGUCAUUUUCACAUUGUGUGACUUUGUGAACAUGCUUUUGUCUUUGCACACAUGUUUGGUUGCUCCGGUAUCAAUCCACCAUGUAUUAUCAUCUUGUACCAUAUUAAUUUCAGAUAUCAUUGCAACGAACUUUUCGUUAUUAUCAGCCUUAGAAGAUGAUUUCUUCUUUAAAAAUCGAUAUUCAUUCUUGAAAUGUCCCGGCUUUCCACAAUGAUAGCAUGAGCCCUUUUGUUUCUUUUUGAACUUAGGUGCUCUAUCAGCCUGAUUGAACUUUCUUUUGAAUGGUUUAGUAGUCUGUACUUCCUCCGUAACAUGUACUUUGGCAUUUUCAGAAUUUAGGUUCUGAUCUUGUUGUCGAUACUCUUCUUCAAUACGAAGAUGAUUUGCCAAAGCCUCAAGAGAUAUUUCCUCUUUCUUAUGUUUUAGACUUCUUUUAAAGUCUUUCCAAGAUGGAGGAAGUUUGUCUAUUAUAGAGGAUACCACAAUUAUUUCAUCCAUUUUCAUAUCAUAUUGCUUAAAUUGAUUCAACAUCUUUUCAAUAUCACGAAAUUGUUCCAUAACAGAACGACCAUCAACCAUUUGAUAAUUAUUGAAACGACUGACAAGAAAUUUCUUACUUGUAACAUCUUCGGUCAUGUAUCUUGCCUCCAAUUUGUCCCAUAAAUCUUUAGCGGUGACGUCGUUUUGGUAGGUGUCGAACAAACCAUCAGAUAAACCAUUCAAUAUGUGGCCCAUGCACAUGUAAUCAGCAUUGUCCCAUUUUUGUCUUUCUCGGGUUGCAGCAAUAGAUUCGUUUUCAUUCUCUUCAGGUCUUGGAGUAUCCAAAACAUAAGCAAUCUUCAAAGUUGAUAACAAAAAGUGCAUCUUUUUCUGCCAUCGUCGAAAAUUGCCACCAUCAAAACGAUCAAGUUUAACAAAGUUGGAAGCCAACUCCCUUAGUGUUCCACUUUCAUGUGUUGUGGUAGUCAUCAUGAAAUAUAACCUUAAAAUUGUUAGUACAAAACUCCGGUAAGGAAAAAAACUCGAACACACGAUCGGAACUCGAAAAGAAAAAGAAGAAAUAGGACAGGCUCCAAGGCAUGUAUCAAGCCACUAUCUUUAAGGUUAUAUUCGCCCCCACUUAUCUUCAGUGUGCAAACGAGUUCCAAGCAAAUUAACCUCGAGGAUACAAUGAAGCCAAUGACUAUUUGCGUUUUGUACUGACGAGAAUAGUCCACUAUGCACUGAGUAAUGUAUAACAAAAACUCAAUUUCUACAAAGGAUUUCUGCAGCAAUACUUUAUAGAAUAAUCUAAUAAUAUUAGAAAAUGAAGGAAGAGAAGAAAUAGUAUUAGAAUUUGUUGAUAUGAUUUCCAAAUGAAAUCCCAUUCCUAUUUAUAGGAAUUUUCAUGUCUCUUCAUAGAGACAUCUUUCAAUAGGUGUCUUUAUGAAUAAAUAAAUAAUAAUAAUUAUUCAUUUAAUUUUGUAACUAUUCAAAUAAUAUUUUUUGAAUAGUUAUAAUUCUUUUUUAAAAAAUCAAAUGAUAUAACUUUUGACCAAUGACCAAAAGUUUUAUCUUUUGAUUAAUUACACCCAUUCAUUUAUAGUUAUUGGGAUACUAUAAAUAUUUGAAAAUAUUCCAACACAUUGCGGGCUACAUCUGUGAACAAAUCAAAACAAAUGGUACUAUAAUCAACAAAUGAAUAUAGGAAACAUAAAAUUUGAACAAAGGCGAUGUGCAGAGGAAAAAGCAACAACAUAAGACUUACAUUCAAGAAAUGGAAUAAGGUCUAAAAGUGCGGUAUCAUCAGUCUCGACCUUAUAUGGCUUAAUAUGGACACAAUUUUCUGGUUGAAGGCUAGAAUCAAAUGCAUGAGCACUCACAUAUAAAAUCUUGGUUGGAUCCCUGUUUAGCUUUGAAAGAUCCUGCCAACAGGAACUAUUUGUUAACAAUAAGGCUUCUUUUUAAGUAGCAGCUUGUAAAGGCACUGUCUCAUAUAUUAAUUCACAUAGUAUUGUAGAAACUAAGGAGGAGAAAACCAAAAGCAAAAUGUUUUGAAGGGAAGAGAUUGACUAUGACAUGGUAAAAGUAUCAUGGAGGCCCCUAUGUUAGGAGUUAGAUUGCCUUUUGCCCCCUUUACUCAAAAACUGGAUAAAUUAGUCCCUAUAUGUUAGAUUAAAGAGUAAGCUAGACUUUCUGUUAAAAAUUUCAUCCAUUGCUACUGUUAAAAACUGGUGCAGUUGAUAAAAUAACCAAACAGUUACACAUAAUGUGUCACGUGUACCUCAUGCUAAUGUAUAUGGACCAAUUUUUAACAGUAGAAAUGGAUGGAACUUGUAACAGAAGGGCUGGUUUGCUUUUUAAUCUAAUUUACAGGGAUUAAUUUGCCCAUUUUUUUAGUAAAGGGGUGAAAUGCAAUAUGACUCCUAGUAUAAGGGCCUCCAUGGUACUUUUACCACUAUGACAUACUCUAUAAUGCUUGCCAUCCUGAUAUUUAGUAGCACCCCUUGAUAGCCUAUAUCGUAUACAAUGGUUAGUGUCCAACCUUUCACAAGCAGGAUCAACAUACCGCAUAGCCAAAAACAAAAUAAUUAUGAACUUGCAGGCAACAUCAGUUAUAGUAUAUCUGAAAAAGAUAAGGAAAAAAAACUGUUACUUUCAUAUCUAAUUUCUUUAUAGUAUUAGGACAAACUAAACAAUGGAUAUAUCACAUUAUUAAGACUUAGCUAAGGAGCCGCUGAUAUACAUUCAAAUGAUCAAUCAUAAAGGAUGAACUAGGAGGCCUAAUGAUAAAUCAAAAUUACACCUAAACCAGUUAUAUGUCUAAAGGCAAUUGCACAUUAUAUCAAUCAAACAACUAAAAUAAAUAGAGAAAAUCCUUUAAAAUAUUCAAUUUCUAAACAAAAUCAAACUCACAUCAAUAGCAGAUCUUGACAAAGAAACCCAAAAUCACAAAUGAUCCUAUCUUUUUAAAAGGGGAAAAAGAAAACUUACUAUAAGAGAGAUAACCAGCAUAGCCAGUAGUUCCAGUAACACCUGCAAUGAGUCCGUACUUGACAAAGCUCUAAAUUUUCCCUCCCGAAACCUGUGGGGCAACUUUCGGCGCCAGAGGAGGAGGUGUCGACUGAUCGGAGAGAAUGGAUUGUGAAGAACAAUCCAAACUUAAUUUACAAGCAAUGUGGAAAUUUUGGACGUUGCAGUAUUGACUACGUUUACUUGAGGGAAAACAAAGACAUGAAUGCUGGAAAUUUUAACUAGUUUGUACGGUCAAUGAAGCUACCUCGAAUGUUAAAUAUGUUACUCUGCAAUGCCAUUGUAAAUAUGACUGUUAAAUUUGUUGAUAGCGGAAUUGUUCCACUCAAGUUAUUGUGGGACAAAUCAAGAAUUUGAAGAAAAGUGACAUUGCAUGUUAAACAAGAGACCUCUCCAUUGAAACUAUUAUUUGAGAUCAGAAAGACAUUGAUUGUCGAAGCUGGAAUCGGAAGAUUUCCACGGAUCAAAUAGGAGCUUAAGUCAAGAACUACAAUAUUCUUCCAUGGAAAGUGCAAAACUUCUGUCAAAGAGUUGCUGUAAUUGGAUUAAUCUCAUCGUUGCUGCAAUCUUUUGACAAAUCGAAUCUUAAAUAUGUUACUCUGCAACGCUAUUGUAAAUGUUACUCUUAAAUAUUACUCUGUAACUAGAUUGAUGGCUCAAUCUUGUUUUUAACAUUGUUAUGGGUAUUACUACUUUCAUGCUUUGAUACGCGAUACCCUCUUUCUAGGUGACAUUUUUGCUCCUUCCGGGCCACCAUGGGCUCUCUGCAUCACUCACCAACCUCAUUAGAUUCCCCGGGUGCCAUUUGGCCAUCUCAAGUCUCAAAAUAGCAUCAAAAUGCACUCUAAUAAUUUAUUAAUAUAAAGAACUAAAACAAAAUAAAAACACAACAAAGAUAUCUAAAUUGCACGAAAAUAAGCUUUUAAGUGUGAUGGAGAGUCUAAUUUGACAUAUCAAUUAAUGUUUGACUAUCUCCAUCUCACUUUUUAUUAAUUAAGGAAUAUGAAUUAGAAUUAAUAUAAACUUACUAUUUUAACAUUUCAUAAGCAAAAGCUAAAAUAAUAUUGGUCACAUCCCAUAUCUUCAUAUAUAGCUUAUCAGACAAAAGUUAAAACAGCCUUCAGUUCAUCUACAUUCUACAUUCCACGUCGAAUCUGCAAGCAUCAAAUAUUAACCUUUGAACUCCAAAAUAACAACACCAAUUUCCAGCAAUUGCAGAAGAAUGUCCAAUAAUUCCACACAAAUUAACAACAAUUUGCCAGCAUCCACUACAUUCGUAUGAAUUCCACACAAAUUAAGACUGGAAACUCUAACUUGUUCAUACCCUCAAUGAAGCUACCUAAAAGUUAUGAAUUCCACUGCAAAUUUUGUAUUGCUUGGAAUGAAUUGACUGUAAUUUCCUAUUACUUGCCACAAAAUUUUCUUUUACUGCUAACUUGUAAAAAAAUUAUGAAAAUACAACAGAGAUCAUUGAGACAUUUUGUUCUCCUUUCUCCUUUACUGAGCAGUAGCAAAGAUUAUCGAGACUAAAUUGAAAGUCAUGAAAGAAGACAUAAACAACACCACCAUACAAAAUGUUACACUCAAACAAACCAUUACAGAUAGUACGAAAUGCAAUGAAAGACACAGGAAUUGGUACAACAAUAAAGACAGACACAUACCAAUGCAACCCUUCACCAUAGGCAAAACGGUCUACAGAAUAAGAAAUUAUGAAAAUACAACACUAAUUCUUGAACAUCAUUUCCAGUAAUUAGAUCCUUCUUCGUCUAUUGCUUCGAUUGCCUUUCUUUGACUUUCUUCUUCGCCUCAUCUCUUGUUGGUUUUCAACCAAAUUCACCAACCAUUUCGGCUUACCAAUUUGGAAAACAACAUAUCCCACGGACAUUCCGAACACCACUCUGCAUCCAUAACCUAUCAACACCACUUUCCAACCAAAAGCAAUGUUUGAUUUUGAGCCAUCUUUUUCAAGCGCAUUUGGAGGUGCUGGCUCAAUGAUGUUGCAACCUUUCGAGACCGGAAACCCACACAGUCCAUUAUUCCCUUCAUAUGAAUCAUUUCCAAAUGUGUUGAAUUGUUUUCCUUGAGGAAUCUGACCAUGGAGUUGAUUUUCAGCGACAUUGAAGGACGAAAGAAAUGGCAGAUCUGCCAAUCUAUUUGGAAUCGUCCCAGACAACCUGUUUGAAGAUAGGUCCAACCAUUCAAUACUUGUCAAAUUCCCUAUUGAUGUGGGAUACCACCAUUAAGGUUAUUAUGAGAAAGGUUGAGCCCUUUCAGUAAGUUAAGCUUCCCAAAAACCUUUGGAAUACCCCCUUCAAACUGAUUGUUUGAUAGAUCAAUGAUCAUCCACAUGGUGAAAAUUUUCACCAAUUCCAUAUAUUGUCCUUUCAUAACAGUUCCGAUGGAAUAGGUAUAGAAGCCAUUACCUCUCGGAACAUACAUCCCCAUGUACGACAUUGUACUCCCAAUCUUCUCUAGAUUUAUGAUACCCUUGAAGCUGUUGAUGUAUCUCACUGGUAGGGGUCCAGAAAAAUAAUUACUUGAGAGAAAAAAAAUUUGGAUUUUAGAGAAAAAAGGGCUAGACUUGGAGCUAUUGUCACAUAAGGAACCAUGCAUAUGAUUUGACUUCAAUACAAGAACUUGUAGCUGUGGAAGACUUCCCAACCAAUGAGGAAAUGUAUCAUUGAUCUUGUUCUUCUUCAGAUUCAAGAAUUGAAGGCUGUAGCUCAAAUUUUCAAAACAUUGCGGAAUUGUUCCGCUCAAGUUAUUGUGGGACAAAUCACGAAUUUGAAGAAAAGUGACAUUGCAUAUUAAAGAAGAGACCUCUCCAUUGAAACUAUUAUUUGAGAUCAGAAAGACAUUGAUCGUCGAAGCUGGAAUGGGAAGAUUUCCACGGAUCAAAUUGGAGCUUAAGUCAAGAACUGCAAUAUUCUUCCAUGGAAAGUGCUCAACUUCUGUCAAAGAGUUGUGAGAUACAUUUAAGUCAAAGAGCCAUUGCCCACCUCUUGCAUCCACUGUGGAAUCUUGCCUUCAAUUUUGUUGCAAGAGAGGUCCAAGCUUUCCAAACUUUUAAGCCCUUAUAAAAACUGGGGGAAUUCACUAAGAUUGAAAGAUGACAAACGUAAGUCUAUAAGAUUAGACAAUAUAUGGUUAACACAAGAAGUAGUAUUAAAUGUUAAGGAUAGGCUGUUAUAUGAAAGGUCGAGAAGUUUUAGAGUUGGAAGGUUUGAGAACAUGCGAAACUCUAUGACACCACUAAGAUUAUUUGAGGAUAAAAGGAGGUGGGUAAGAUUGAGAAGUUGGAAUAUUGAAGAUGGAAGAGGACCUUGGAGUUUAUUAUUGUUUAACCUUAUCAAUUCUAGUGUUUUGGAUUGGAAUUCUUUGAUAUGCCCACUGAAUUGUUUUUAGAGAGAUCUAUUGUUUAACCACGUUAUUUUUCAGUGACGGAUCGAGAAAUAAAACUUAGGGGGAGCAGGGGCGAAGUUAGAAAAUUAGUUUGGGGUAAUCGAAAUUAAAUUAUAUAUUUUUAUGAUAGUAAAAAUAGAAUUUCGUCAUUUUAAUAGCCUAUAUCUUUAUAAUUUUUAGAGGAUUAAAUUAAUUUUUUAUCAUUUGAGGGGGGCAAAGUGCAAUUUUACCGUUAUUAAUUUAAAAUUUUAUAAAUUAUAAAUGGCCUAAAUUUUAAAAAAAAAAUCAUUUUAGGGGGUUGAGACCCUGUCAGCCCUCUCCCUAGACCCACCCCUAGUCUUUUUGAUACAAUUUGGCAGUUUAAGUACUUAAUUAGUGCAAAAAAAAAAAAACUAGGGGCUCAAUAGCUUUUUUUUGAAAAAGUUUGAGAGCCUUUUUGAUCCAUUUUGGCAGUUCAAAUGCCCAAUUCAGUGCAAGAAAAGAAGUAGGGGCUUAAUUAUUUUUUUUUAAAAAAAGUUUGAGAGCCUUUUUACACCAUUGAACCUUUUUUAUACUAAUUGGUAGACGCGAAGUUAUAAAUAUUUAAUUGUUAAUGUAAUUUUUAGAAUUUCUAAAGAAUAAUAAUAUUUAAAAUCUUAUAAUUUUUUUUAUUUCAUGUGCAUAAAAAACUUAAAUAAAUAAGUGUUUAGAUUUAGAUUAAUCACGCUGUCCAUUUAUUCAUAUUCAUUCUAGAGGUAUAACUUUUAGUUAUUUUAUAUGUUUUUAUAAUUAAAAAUAAUGGUAUAAAAGUCGAUUAAGUUUUAGCUCAAUUGACAUAGACAUUGUUGUUGAGGAGGACCUAUUGGUAGUUCUAGGCAUUGUGUCAAAAUGAACUAUAUUUGAUAAGAACCUAUAAUGAAAUUAAUGUUAAAAAAAUAAUAGUAUAAAAAGCUAAUAUUUUUAUAAAAGUUUCAUUUUUUUUUCAGUUUUUGGAUUUUUCUCAUAUAAAAUUUUAGAAUUGUUUCUUGAAUUUUUAUAGCUUUUCUUAUUAUGAUGUUAUAUAAUUUUAGAUUUUUAUACAUCUUUAAUAUUUUUUUAGUUUUUUAUUGUUUCUCAAAUAAUGCUUGGUUGAUGUAGCUUGCCAAGUGGUAUCGUGUUAUUGGCUGUCAAUUUCAAUAAUAAAAAAAUUUGGAGUUGAUUAGUUAUGAACUAACUCGAUUAAUCAAUUCUAAAUUUAAGUACUAAUUAAGUCCAAAAAAAGUUCAAAUUUCAAUUCAUGCAAGUUGGAUGGCAAUGAAACGGGAUUGGGGUGCGAAUAUUGUCAAAUUCACUAUUGUUUCAUAGUUGAUGUGUUUUGUCCCAUCACUCACCCCCGCUCCACUAUGGAUGUUUAAUUUUGAAAACCACUCACCCCAUGGAUGUUGGAUGCAUCCAUCCCUGCUUCACGUCGUGCCAUUUCAAUUUAAUUUUUAUUAGUUUUUUUAAAAAUAUUUUCAAUUUUUUUUUAAUUUUAAAAUAUUUUCAAUCUUUUUAAAACUUAUAAAUAUUUAAACAUAAUUAUUCAAGAAAAACAUUUAAACAUAAAACAUAUGAGUUUUUUAUAACAUAUUUUUACCCUUUAAUAGUUAUAAAUAUACAAGGGUCGAAUAGUAAUUUCAAAUAGUGAAAUAGAGUGGAUUGGGACAAACAAUUACCAUAACUGCUACACUUAAUCAUCGUAAAAAAAAAAAAAAAAAAUCUAUUUCAUCCCCGCCCAUAUUCCCUUUUAAAAGGAUCUACUCUAAAUGAAACAAACCAAUUCAAAAUCCAUUUAACAUCCUAAAUUCUAAAACUAAUUUUGAUAUGAAGUCUCAAUUAAAUUCAAGUAAUAAGGUUUUUUGAUAUGGUUUACACUACUAACUUCUAUAUGAAAACAACAACCAUUUCCCAUGAUGUUUGCGGCUUACCAACAAAUCCUUGCAGAUUUUCAACGUAGAAGAAAAUCAUGAAAAUAAAAAAAAAAAAAAAAAAAAAACUCUGGUUGGGAUUUGUUUCAUAUGGAAAACAGAAAACAAAACUUAAGUUAGUCAAAAUUACCAACUCACUGCUGACAACAUUUUUGUUGUAACCAAACAUUUGGAAGAAAAUAAACACAAGAGCACGCCGUUGACCUGUAUUUCUUUUAUUCUUCAAUUCUAUUUCAUCUUUAAGCUGUAACCAAUGAUAAUCAAAUCUUGACUUGCAUAAAAACCAAAGAAAACAAAAUGAAUGCAGCAGAAUUUUCUACCACAAAUGAGUAGUAAUUUACAGAUAAUAAAAUUAUCGAAAAACUAUUGAGAGUCGAAUUUCAUAUUAAUUGUGGUAUCCAUGAACUAGAAUGUAUUAAAAAAAGAAGGAUAUUGACCUUGAGACUACUUGCAAUUUUCAAAAACACUCUCAAUUCCUCUCCCCCUCUUCGGGCACCGGCCCAAGAUCCUGCCAUUGGCUACCACGCCGGCCGCUAGUCGCCAGCGCCGGCGCCGUGCAUGGAGGAGGAGAGUCCAAAAAUAUCCUUUUUUUUUUCUCACAUGCAGAUCCUCGGCCUCCAAACACUCCGACGACGGCUACAAAGGUAAAAAGGCCUCUCAUUUUUUAUUUUUAUAAUGCUUCAAAAUAAAAAAAUAAAAAAAAGGGAAAAAAUCACCUUUAAAAAAAACUGAUUCCUGUUUUUUAUUUCUCUUUGUUUUUUUUUUUCCAAAAGAGAACUCCCUUAAUUUUUCAUCUUUUUUAGCCCUUAAACCUACGUUGUUUAUCAAUAACCUUAAACUUACAUUGUUUACCGGAUGAAAAAUUUAAUAUUUAUUAACUUUGCUAAGGUGCACAUAUGCAAUUUAUUUAAAUCUAAAAACUAUAAAAUAUCUUAAAAUUAAAACUAAAAGUUUUUAAACUACUUGAUUGCUCCUUUCUCCUUUACUGAGCAGUAGCAAAGAUAAUCGAGACUAAAUUGAAAUCCAUGAAAGAAGACAUAAAACACCUCCAUACAAAGUGUCACACUCAAACAAACCAUUACAGAUAGUACGAAAUGCAAUGAAAGACAGAGGAAUUGCUACAAUAACAAAGACAGACACAUACCAAUGCAACCCUUCACCAUAGGCAAAACAAGAAAUUAUGAAAAUACAACACUAGUUCUUGAACAUCAUUUGCAGUAAUUAGAUCCUUCUUCGUCCACUGCUGCGAUUGCCUUUCUUUGACUUUCUUCUUCGCCUCUUCUCAUGUUGGUUUUCAACCAAAUUCACCAACCAUUUCGGCUUUCCAGUUUGGAAAACAACAUAUCCCACCAGCAUUCCGAACACUACUCCGCAUCCAUAACCUAUCAACACCACUUUCCAUUCAAAAGCAAUGUUUGAUUUUGAGCCAUCUUUUUCAAGCACAUUUGGAGGUGCUGGCUCAAUGAUGUUGCAACCUUUCGAGACCGGAAAUCCACAUAGUCCCUUAUUUCCUUCAUAUGAAUCAUUUCCAAAUGUGUUGAAUUGUUUUCCUUGAGGAAUCUGACCAUGGAGUUGAUUUUCAGAAACAUUUAAGGACGAAAGAAAUGACAGAUCUGCCAAUCUAUUUGGAAUCGUCCCAGACAACCUGUUUGAAGAUAGGUCCAACCAUUCAAGACUUGUCAAACUCCCUAUUGAGGAGGGGAUAUCACCAUUAAGGUUAUUAUGAGAAAGGUUGAGCCCUUUCAGUAAGUUAAGCUUCCCAAUAACCUUUGGAAUACCCCCUUCAGACUGAUUGUUUGAUAGAUCAAUGAUCAUCCACAUGGUGAAAAUUUUCACCAAUUCCCUAUCUUGUCCUUUCAUGACAAUUCCAAUGGAAUAGGUAUAGAAGCCACUACCUCGAGAAUCAUUCACCCCCAUGUACGACACCGUACUACCAAUCUUUUCUAGAUUUAUGAUAGCCUUGAAGCUGUUGAUGUAUCUCACUGGUAGGGGUCCAGAAAAAUAAUUACUUGAGAGGUCAAAAAUUUGGAUUUUAGAGAAAAAAGGGCUAGACUUGGAGCUAUUGACACGCAAGGAACCAUGCAUAUGAUUUGACUUCAAAACAAGAACUUGCAAAAAUGGAAGACUUCCCAACCAAUGAGGAAAUGUAUCAUUGAUCUUGUUGUUACCAAGAUCUAGCACUUCCAGACCAUUACAAUUAAGGAUGGAUGGUGUCAAAGGCCCUUCUAACAGAUUUCCAUUUAAGUUGAAAUUAGUCAGUUGGCAUCCCUUUGCAAAUGUUAGAGGAAUCGUCCCAUAGAACUCGUUCUUCUUCAGAUUGAAGACUUGAAGGAUGUUGCUCAGAUUUCCAAAACAUUGCGGAAUUGUUCCACUCAAGUAAUUGUGGGACAAAUCAAGAAUUUGAAGAUAAGUGGCAUUGCAUAUUAAAGAAGAGACCUCUCCAUUGAAACUGUUAUUUGAGAUCAAAAAGACAUUGAUGGUCGAAGCUGGAAUCGGAAGAUUUCCACGGAUCAAAUUGGAGCUUAAGUCAAGAAAUUCAAUAUUCUUCCAUGGAAAGUGCUCAACUUCUGUCAAAGAGUUGUGAGAUACGUUUAAGUAAGUCAAAGAGUCAUUCCCCACCUCUUGCAUCCACUGUGGAAUCUUGCCUUCAAUUUUGUUGCAAGAGAGGUCUAACCUUUCCAAACUUUUAAGCCCUUUUAAAAACUGGGGGAAUUCACUAAGAUUGCAAGAUGACAAAAAUAAGCUUCUAAGAUUAACAGUAGAUGUAGUAUUAGAUGUUAAGUAUAGGCUGUUAAAUGAAAGGUCGAGAUAUUUUAGAUUUGGAAGGUUUGAGAACAUACGUAACUCUAUGACACCACUUAGAUUAUUUGAGGAUAAAACGAGCAAGGUAAGAUUGAGAAGUUGGAAUAUUGAAGAUGGAAAAGGACCUUGGAGUUUAUUAUUGUUUAGAUAUAAAUGUUCUAGUGAUUUGGAUUGGAAUUCUUGGAUAUGCCCACUGAAUUGAUUUUGAGAGAGAAUUAUAACCUUUAAGGAGGGAGCAGUAUACAACCAUGACGGAAGUGUUCCAUUGAGUAAAUUGUCAGAUAAGCCUAAAUAUAUUAGAUUAGGAAAAGUGGUUACCUCAUCUGGAAUGGAUCCUUCUAAAGAAUUUUCAGAUAUUCCCAAGUAUUCCAGCUGGGUUAGGUUUAGAAUUGACAAUGGAAUUUGUCCACUCAAUUGGUUCUGCGACAAGUCUAAAUGAGUGAGUUGCAAGAGGUUCCCCAAUGAUAUUGGAAUUUGUCCACUCAAUUGGUUCUGCCACAAGUUUAAAUCAGUGAGUUGCAAGAGGUUCCCCAAUGAUCUUGGAAUUUGUCCACUCAAUUGGUUCUGCCACAAGUCUAAAUCAGUGAGUUGCAAGAGGUUGCCCAAUGAUCUUGGAAUUUGUCCACUCAAUUGGUUCUGCCACAAGCCUAAAUUAGUGAGUUGCAAGAGGUUCCCCAAUGAUCUUGGAAUUUUUUCACUCAAUUGGUUCUGCCACAAGCCUAAAUGAGUGACUUGCAAGAGGUUCCCCAAUGAUCUUGGAAUUUUUCCACUCAAUUGGUUCUGCCACAAACCUAAAUCAGUGAGUUGCAAGAGAUUCCCCAAUGAUCUUGGAAUAUUUCCACUCAAUUGGUUCUGCCACAAGCCUAAAUGAGUGAGUUGCAAGAGGUUCCCCAAUGAUCUGCCACAAGCCUAAAUGAGUGAGUUGCAAGAGUUUCCCCAAUGAUCUUGGAAUUUGUCCACUCAAUUGGUUCUCACACAAGUCUAAAUAAGUGAGUUGCAAGAGGUUCUCCAAUGAUCUUGGAAUUUGUCCACUCAAUAGGUUCUGUGACAAGUCUAAAUAAGCGAGUUGCAAGAGGUUCCCCAGUGAUCUUGGACCCGGUCCUGAUAAGUUGGAAUGGGAGAGAUCUAAAACCUUCAAGGACACAAGAUUCCCCAUCCAGUCAGGCAAUCCUCCAAAAAAAUUUGCGCCUCCAAGAAUCAACUACUCCAAAGAUGAUAAAUUUGUGAAUGAGACAGACAAUCCUUGAAAGAAGGAAUUUCCUGAGAGAUCUAAGUACUUUAAGGCCUGUAGAUUAUCAACUGAAUCAAUGAAUUCUGUAGAGAAGGACACGAACGACAGAUCCAAAUGUUCAAGAUUGCUGCUCCGAUUGAACUUCAAAGGAUCAAGAUUGAGGUUUUGGUUGCCUCCCAAGUUGAGGAGAUUGAGGUUUGGCAAAUCAAAAAUGUUUUUUGGGAAUUUUCCUUGCAAAUCACAAAAAGCAAGACUGAGAGACCUUAGAGAAGAGGAUAGAUUCAUGAAGACAUGAGCAUUAACAGAAGACAUGUCCAUUCCAUCCAAAAACAGAUGUCUGACCUCGGUUAGGUUGUGAACAAGUCCCUCCAGAGCAUGUUUGUCAAUUGUUUGUGCAUCACCCCAACAGGAGAGAUCAAGUGAAACCAAUUUUGACAGGUGGGAGACUUGGGAUGGGACUUCUCCUGCAAACCCUGUAUUGGAAAGGUUGAGGUAGAAUAGGCUUGUAAACCGACCUAAGUCGGAUGGAAUUUUGGAAAGAUUAAAAUCAUUGAAGGCAAGGUUGAGUUUUUGAAGGUGAGGAAGAAGGAAGAGAGUGGUAUUGGAAGGGAAGUUGCCAGAUAGCCAACUGCAGCUCAAGUCAAGGGCAAUAACAUGAGCAUUUAG